AGGUGGCUGUACACUGGUACCAUAAAUAACCAGCGGCCGAGGGACAGGGGAGGGUUAACCAUCAUGCAGUUCUGCAGGGAGCUUAAACCCCGCUGAAGCUGAGAGAGGCUGUCAGGGAGCCGUGUAAAUAUGCUGCGGGCUAACUGAUUUUUCUGUGGUCGUAAACACGGCAUAAAGAGCUAAUAUACAGGUCAGCACCAUCCUGAUUUACACCCCGGGAGGCUAAACGUCGCCAGAGCAUGCAUUUCCCUCCUCCUGACUGAUAUGCUGCCUGCUACGCUUUCUAAUCAGCAUUAUUACAUUCAUUUUAUGAAAUGAUAGAUUUAUUUGACAAACUUUCCAUUUCCUUUCAAGUCAAAUAUGUGUAUUAAUAUAUACAAUGAAGGGUUGGGGUAGAUUAUGGCAAUAAAAGGUUUUGCUGAUAAAGAUCUUGAGUUAAAAGAGAUUUGUUGGCGGUUUGGGGCUUGUAGUCCGGUGCAUCUAUUGGCCUUAGAGCUGCUCUCAAUCGGAGGGAAAGGAAAGACGCCUUCACAGGACAGAACCGCUGAUUAAAUGUCCCAGCCAGCCUCUUCAAGUAUGAAUUAUCUAAAUAGCUCCCUUAUUGCCAAAUUUGUUGCAAUUUUGAUUGACUGCUACUUAGAUUUGUAGAUUUUUUUCUCAUCUGCCUUUAAUGGAACAUGUUUCUCUUGAGUAUUGUGAUGCAGCUCGCCUCGUUGAUCAGUUCUGAGGUUAUUUCAGGACUGUAGAAAAUGCUACUAAGAAGUAUUGUUGCCAUCGAAAACAUUUUCCGCAAAACAUUUAAUCUUUCACAGGAAAUGCUUCAGCACAACCUCCAUAAUAAAAAUGUGCAAAAGCAAAGUCAAUGAAAAAAAACACAGUGAAGUCAAUGGGCGAAGCACCAUUCUAGUGACAAUUAUUCCAUUAUUUGUUUAUAUUUGCAUAGUGGCAAUACUGCUGGUUUUAUUGGAGCAUCUUUAUUCUCAUUCCUAAAUGUUAAAUACAACUAAAUUGUGUUACGACAAAGACUUCUUUACAGCUCUUUAUCCCACUGGAGAUCAUCUGACAACAAACUAAACAGCUGAAAAAAAUACAUUUUAUCUAAAAGUCCUUUAGUGCUGUACUUUCUAAAGCUAACUGCUGACAAAGGUAAUAAAAUAAUGAUUUUAUGUUUAAAGGAGUGGCGGCUGGUGGAAAAUGUUCCAGGUAGGGCAAUUUUACCAAUUUCAGCAAAACAUCCCAGGUUAAUGGAAAUGAAACGUAAUGAAAUAAACUGAGGUAUCAAAACACAUUAGUACUUUGCAGUUAAACAUGUAUUCCAACAUGAAAAAAAGCAUAAAAUACACUUUUACACAUUUUACGCAUUUUAUCUUAUUUUUGGAUGAAAUAAUAAUCAGACUCCUUCAUGUUACGAUGGCCAUCUCAGCGGCCAGACUUAGGAAGUAGCAUGACUGACACAGGGCUUGAGUGCAUACCUCCCAGGUGUUUGUUUCACUAACAUGGUUACAUAUGGUAUAUUGGUAGCCAUAAAGGGGACGUCUGCGACUUCCACGCUGGAUUCUUUAUACAUGUGGUCCUGGCAGCCUUAUACAGCCUACCACUGCACAGGACCACAACUCUGGUAAUUCUGCAGGGACACGAGGCCCCUUAACUGCAAAGCAAUUACCUUGGUCUGCUUGAAUGGCGAUAAAAUCUGUGCCCUUUACUUUCUCCACAAUGUUGAUACCAACCUUUAAUCAUUUAAUAUUGUAUUUUCUUCCCUUGUCUUUUUUGGGCUCAAGGAUUAGCGUUCCAGGUGGGUGACCGCCGCGUGUUAAAAAGUUUGUGGUUGUUGAAAACGUCAACGUUAGUUCAUUUUGGCUAUUUUUUUAAAGUGACUAAGUUGAUGUGUUAUUUCGGCAUCAACGGUGGGAAAAAACUGGUAUUGACUAGUGCGCUACAUCAAAGCGUUACUUGUGCUAUGAUACGGCUGAGUGCGAACUGUGAUAUUCCCACCGCUGAUGCUAUGGCUGCUUGAAAUGAUCCUAAUGCCAAUAAUUGUAAUGUAGCGAGGAGUUUAACAACUUCUGGAAUGGAAUGUGAACGCUGAGUGGGAGAUUCUAUGCCAUCAUGGAUUUCUCCCAUUAACUAUAAUAUUGCAUGGUUGCUUAAUCUAUAAUGGGUAAUGAUUUUGUGUUCACUGAACAGAAAAGGUGUGAUUCUUGUGGCAAAAAUCCAUUUACCCGCACAUGCAAAACAAAUAUGCCUGAAGUGGGCGCAAAAGCGUUAGUACAUGAAGCCUUGGUUGUUUACAAUAGAAAUCUUAAAGGGGAUUUAAAUAGAACAGAAUCACAAGAUGUUGUUUUACCAGAAUGUCAUCUUGCCGUCUUCCAGUAUCAUGGAACUGCCAGUCCUCCCACCUGACAUCUUUCCCACAGACAUACUUGGUCUUGUUACAUACAUUCUUUUUUUUUUCCAGACUCUCAAAGCGUUUUUUUUAAUAUGGAGAAAUGGGUUAAUCAUUUCCUUUAGUUUGUUGUUUUACAUAUAUCCAUAAAUUUUAACUGUGCGUGCCUAUGACACACAGUGAAUACAGGUAGAACGGAAUGCUUUAAAUGGACAGAUUUCUGGGGAUAAGUACAUGUCCGUCUAAUCUAUCUUCCUCAUGUUUGCCCUUGGAAAACCGCAGCUUGUCCCCCAGUGCAGGGACACGAGGCUUGGAGCGUAAAACUCCAUCAUCAUCAAGCUUUUUUUCCCUUUCCGUACUUGGCCUGAUUGCCUUUUUCUCCUUGUGCGUGUGACUGUGUGUAGGUGUGUUUGUGCGAGUCUCAGACAAGGUGUCCAUCUAUAACUUGCAGAAAGAGGGACCCCCGUCCGGGCCAGCCAUCUGUCCCCUGGGCACCUGGGGGGGCUGCAGUAUUCUGCAGCUUAAAAGGCAAAAUCAUCAUGUUGUUGGAAAAACAAAUGUGUGGCUAUGUUAGGCUCCCCAGCAUACAGACCAGAUCCGGGUCACAAAUCUACCAGGUUAUCACAUCACUUAAGUUCUUCUUGCCUCCUUUAAUUGGUUCCCAGUCCCGAGGGAGUAAUGUGUGUGUGUGUGUGUGUGGAGCUAGCAGAUGCAAGACAGUGAAUGUAGAAAAGCGGUCAGUGCUGUUUAUUGGGGUCCAUAGGCUGGAAGGUUCAUAGAUACAAUGUGUUCAGCAGAUUUGCACCUGGGGAACACACUUGCGCUCCUGUGAGUAUUUAGGAUGGAGCUAGGUAUUCUCAUACCACCAAAUAAUAUCUUAGUAAAAAUUCCUGUUAAUGUUUUGUAUGGAAGCCUGUAGCACGUGUCCAUUUCUACUUGUCAGAUGCAUCCCUUCUUCUGAAACAAUACGUUGUCAUUCACAUACAUUAUUUAGCUCUAGGCCAAUAAACCAUUUGGUUAGGUUGAGGAAAAAAUAAAGAAUGUAAGUCCAAUAAUUUAACAAGUUACGGUAAGUAUAUUAAUGUUAACUUUCAGUUUCACUUGGUGUUAGGGGUUAACCUUUGUUUGAAUUGUCUGCUGGCUAAAAAGUAGUUGACUUUGUCUGAUCAUGUAAUGAAACAAUAUGUUAUUCCCAUUUCUCUCUUUCUGGUCAAUGGAGUUCUAGUGGGACAUUGAUGAAUGGAUUUGAAGGGUGUCAACCUGGACAAACAGAACCCGGGCCCACAUGCUGCUACAUCCUGAAAAAAUAUGCCUGUUAAAGCGACAGCUGAGGGAAAUAGUUCUGAGGUCUCUCGCAUCCCCUCUAUUGCCCGCUCUGUGUCUCUCUCUCCAUGCAACACGAUUGCAUCAUGAAAGUGAAAAAUAACACGCUUACAUUGAAGCGAAGCAUGUAGUGCGACAAAAUGAUUUCAGCAUCUUACAUUUGAUACAUGACACAAGGAACACACACUUCGCUUCACAAGGUCAAUGUUUCCUUCGUCGAGCGGAACAUCCUCACCCCCGGCAGGCUUUUACAGCCAAAUAAAUACAUCUGCCUCUAAUCUGUGAUGCCACUCUGCCUCCUUCCUCCAAGGGUGUGCAGAUAAAUAGCUGAGUGUAAAUGGCCUCUUAAAGUAUGACACUGCCACGCUGGCAGGGGAGUGAAGGGGAGAACUGGAUGAAAGAUGAUGGAUCUCACUCUCAUGUCCAAAGCUUAAUCACAGCAUAAUAACAAUAAAUACGCUGGGGGAUGCAACCGUUAUACAUCCUAUAAUCAUACAUCUUGAUAAGUCUCAUUAUUAAACCCAAUGUGUAGGAGAUUGUUUAAUAAAAUACAGAAUAAAACAUCAGUCAGAACCAACUAAUGACAUCAUUUAAACUCAUAUGAAAGAAAAUAAUUCAGAUCCAUGCACAAUAUCUAUUCUGUUGACAAUAAAAGCUAUAAUUAUUUAUUAAUUUUAGAGCUGCUGAUGUCAAAAUUCUUGAAAAGAUUUAAACAAAGUUUAAAUCUCAGGUAUUCUGAAUGAAAGGUUUACGUCUUUCUUCAGAGCAUGCUUUUAUAAAAAUAAACUCAAAUUCUGUCACAUACCACGUGUAGGUGUUGUUUUCUCUAUUAGUUUUCACACACAUUCAAACCAUUGAGUGUUUUAGCCCGGAGUUUGGUGAAAAUGUAAUCAUUGCCACAGAAAAAGUAAAGCUGCGUUCACGGUAGACAGUCAAAAUCCUCUGGGGGGGGAAUGCAAACCAAGUUCACGGUACCAUUGUGAAUCAAGAAAGAGGCGAUUAUAUGCAGAUACAAAGGAUGAGCUAUGGUCUCUAUUGGCCCAGACAAUGACCUCCAUCACAGGACCAAAACAUUUCCAGAUGUCUGAAAACACUCUUCCGUUGGCGGAGUGUGGCUACGGAAAAGGCACAGCUGAAGUCGGGGGGGGGCGGGGGGGAGGCAAACCCUGCAGCACAUUGAAAGGGAGAGGAAUACGUUUGGCUUGCAAAUCAAAUGAGUAAAGACAUAAAAGUCUGAAGCUGAGUGUGUGUGUGCACACCUACAUGUGGGUGAAAAAUGGAGACAGAGACAUUAAAGUACUUUAGAUUUCUUCCCUCUGUGCUUCUGCCUAGAAAGACAUCUUUGACGUUCAUUUGUUUCGCUCCCCAGCGUGCCAGCUUGCCGAGGAUCUGACAUCAAUCACGUUGUUUCAUCUUUUAAUGUUCAUUUUGUAUCACCAUUUUGCAUUUUGGUUCACCAUUACUGGUGAUGAAUAGGCUAAAUAAUUUCUGGGAGAUGGUUUACAUUAGGGGCAAUUCAGCGGGGAGUCUGCACUAGUUUGAAUUAUGAGAGAUUUUAGUAUUCUGGGAACGUUUUUUGCUAAAAUAGAAUAUGAAAGUUCCAUCUCAAGGGAUAAGAAACACCACUCCGAGCGAGAGUUCUCUGUACAGGUUGCGUCACCCGGGAAUAUCAGUAUGUAUUGAAGCUGAACAAAAUAUCCAACAUGUUUAACAUGUUUUACGUCAGAAACAAUUGCAAUGUUUUCUAAGCAGAGAAAUCUAUUGUUGUUAUCAGUGCUGACAGACUUGAUGCAAACAGAGCUGAUGAAACAUUAUCCCAUAUGUCCUAAGGGUAUUACAGAAAAAUCUGCGUUUCUCACAACAACUUGGGAUAAAACCAGCCUCUUGCUGGUUUUAUCGGAUCCUUCGCAAAACCGAUCUGGGCCUUCGGAGUGGCAGAGUGUGUGUGGGCCUAAGGCCGUCUCUGCAGGCUCUCUGUUUACCGUUGCAUCUUACUUCCACCUGUUGAAUAUCCCCUCCAGCCCGCCUCCGAAGCCAUCGGAAUCUGAAGAAGGUUUUUGAGGAAAUAGAGAAAUCUUUCAGUCAAUGAGACACGCAGCGGGACGUAAUUCCGCAGGGAAUUGAAUAACAGGCUUAUGCGGCCCGGCUUGAACUACCAAGUUACUGCCAGACUGGAGGAAAUGAAAAGCAGCGAGGAUGUAAAGCGUCCACCUGUGAGGAUUCACACCAUAUCACCACCAAAUGGAUGAGCUCACCAAUAGGAACAAAAUAUGAUAAAGUGGAGGUUCAUGUUUUUGCAUGAGGUCCAUAUGUAGCAUAAGAGCAUAAGCACACAAACAAAACAGCAAAAUAUUGUUCUGACAUCAUUAAAUAAACCCGUUCCUUGAGGAACACCUCUGUCCACUACGUUCAUCCGCCUGUCUCUAGCCGGGUCGGCCUGCUGUUAGCUGCUCAGCAGCUUUGGAUGGAAUUGGAAUGAGGCUCAAGACAACAAACAGGCUGAAAGUCUCUGUAUAGUCUUUGUGAGUAUCACUGCUUUGCACCACUUUGGUUUAUCAGAAAAUUCAUUCAUUAUUGUCAUAUAAACAUAAAAUGAAUACUUGACACCGGUGUAAAAUCAUCAAAAACAGGAUAUUUAAUGUUUGCAAACAGGAGACAGAGUUGACACACAUACAAGUUAUGCGCCAAGGCUACUCGAAGGUCUUCUUUUCCAGCCCCAAGUACAUAUGUACUGGGACAAGGUAUCAUAAACAGGAAGGUUUUGAUCUCAUUGUACAAGGACCGUCAUGUUCUCAAUCCUGAGACAUAUAUCUGAUCAUCAUGAGACACUGAGUGGCCUUCUGGACACCAGACACACACGUCUCACAGAUUUCAUAUCCUGAGCGGUCAUCUUAUCUCAGCUGACAUGUCACACACCCAACUUACUGUACAAACGAUACAGACACAGUCUUGUUUUGUCUAAAACCCCCUUGACAUUUUUGCAGUUUUUCCAACAGAGAAUGAACAACAAUAAAAGACGUUUGAUGCAAUGUCAUCCCACGCAUUGUUUUUGAUGUUUAUAAAAACAUGUGGUAUGAUAUUCAUUUAAUGAGAACAGCCAAAAACAACCCUUUACACUAUGCAGUGCUGCAUUGGGAUUGGUUCAGUUAGUCCGUGCUCGUCUUAACCCAGACCAGUCCUAAAUAUCUGUGGUCAACGCCAGCAGCACUAAACACUGUACAACACGUCCUCUCUCUCUCUCUCUCACACACACAUACAAACACACCAAUGUAAUGUCUGCAGAUGAUUUAUCAGCGAGAGAUGGAUCCAGUGCUUUUCUGGGCUCCCUGACUUGCCAAUUAGAUCACUAGUUAAGCUAGAAAUUCAGCACCACAGACAGAGUUGAAGGAAAAGGUGAAUGUUUGUCCAUCUCCUCUCCGUGCCGGUCCAAUGUCAAGGUUUAAUAGCAGUGAUUAGCCUCGCUUAUAAAUGCUACGGCCACACAGACGAGGUUCACCAAUUUUACCCUCAGCUUUCUCUGCUACUCUUGCUAUGGCUCAGGACCCAAAUACCCCAGUCGGGGGUUGCUGCUGUAGUGCUGUGUCCCAAAGGGUAAUUUUGUUCACUGCAUGACCUGUGUGGUGGAAUUGUCCAAGAAUAGAUAAAUACGUAAAAAUGCAGUCUGCAUACGUAUAUGCAGACUCGUGUACCAUCAUUUGGGAGGAACUGAGGAGACUUGCUGAACAUGUACUUCAGUGCAUCCCCUGGCUUUUUUUCUAAAAAAGCUCAAUUGGAUUUACCCCCUAAUGCUCUGAUAGAUAAGCACUUUACUCAUUAGCAUGGAUCCAAGGGCUCUGGAAGGAAUGAAGCAAUCAAACGGUAAUUCCACAGACUAACACGGAGGCCAUAAAUCACUCGCCUCCCUCGCACUGUGAGACCAGAUUACAUCGCCACCGUGACCGCCCAGCAAAUACCAAUCCGCAACCAGACGAAACGACCUCGAACAAGUUCACAUGACUCCUAAUGAUACGCAACUCCCCAGGUGGCUUGGUAGUGUCAAGAGUACGCUGUUAGUGGCAUGGUACUGCAUGAUGAAUGCUUAACAAGAUCCUUCUUGUGAGUUAUUUAUCUGCUGCUUAAAAGACAGAUGUUAAUAUGAGAAACAAUUCAGUCUAAUUAAAGAUCUGAUUAAAGUAGCUUAAAUAAGCUAAAGGGGAGGGCAAGUCCAAACACAAGCACUUGAGAUACCUCUGAAACGUUGAAAGUGUAGAGGACUCUCAUAUGUGGAAUGUUAAUGCAGAAAAGAUCUGAGAGUAUUUAAGAGCUUUGUAUAAUUGCACCUGAGGCCAAGAGAAGGCAUGGACUACUAGAGGAGUUAUUGAAGGCUUUGUAGGUCUCGAUGAUUUAAUAUUUUGAGGGAGCCAGUGGAAAGAAAUAGAAAUAAAGAGACAAUGUUGAGGGGAAAACCUGUUGAUUGUGAAUAGUUAUGGCCUCUAGUGAGCAUGGCAGAUAUUUUCUAGUUAGUUUUAGGAUUGCCCUAUUAAAUGAAUAAUCCACCUAAUAGGCAUUUCAUUAGUGCUUUUGUCCAUUUACUGUAAACCACUCCUGUUCUACAUGCAUAACUUUCCCUUAUUCAUUUUCAAACAAUAACCCAGCCACUAAUCACAAUUUCUGAUUCUUUCAGAAAAAAGGUGUAUUAUGUCUUUCCCAUUGAAAUCUGUCCCCAUUGAAAUGCAUUCCUAACUGGACUAUAUUCAAGUGAAAGCCCAGCACAGACCUGCCACUUUUUAUCCGUGCCUCUUUUGGAAACUGUUUAGUUAGUCUACUUUAUAUGUAGCAGAAGGGAGCUUCUAUUACUGAAGGCCGUUUAACUACCAAACACUCGGCAGCCAGUCACGGGGGAAGUGUCUCCCAUAAAUACAGUGGGGAUUCCCUUGGCUUCACUCUGACGUCAAAACAAAGUUAAACUUCCGGUCAAACGUCCACGUCUGGUGCAGACCAUCUAGAACCCCUCGUCCUGCACUGGCCUCCUCCCGCCUUCUGGAGCAGAUGAAUAUGGGUGCUUUUCUUGAAUCUUUGAUUGUAUUCUCUACCAGGGGACUGUUAGCGGGAUUCAAGGGGAACGCGGUUGCUUUGCCUUUGCAUCAGUUCUGUUUCACCGAAAUACGGGUCUACCGUUGAUCGGCGCUGCGUUGCCGACAGAGUCUCUCGCUCUCACCGGGACACCGCCUUCGGUAUGUUGUGUCCCAGCGUUAGCGUUUUUAAAGACAGUUCGUUUUAAAGUGAGCCAUUUUAUGGUGCUUUCUGACAGGGGAUGUCAGGACCCACUCUGGCUUUUGGACUUCUGUUAAGUGGCUGCACGAGCCACCUCUGUCCUCUUUAACCUAUUUUUUCCUUUUUUCGCGUUUCCCUUCUUGGAGCCAGAGUUUGUUUUUGGGUAAUUGUGUUCCUCGUGUCUGUAGGUGCUGUCAAGGUCCAGGUGGUUUGGGUUGCUGUCUUCUGUGCUGUGACGUUUGGGGCACCCUGGGUUUGGAACCCUCACGUGAGUGAGUGAGUGAGUGAGUGAGUGAGUGAGUGAGUGUGUAUGUGUGUGUGUGUGUGUGUGUGUGUGCGAUACACGUGUGAUUGAGGUGCCUCCCCUCCCUUACUAUCCUCACCUGCACUAGGCCUCCUCACCACUGGUAAGCCACAGCCCUACACUUGGUUUCAUUAAUGUCUAUGGCUCGUUGUUUUAAGAUUGUAUAUUCCAUGUUCUUUGUGUUGUAUAAAUAAAGUGAGUUUUUUUUUUAUAGUGGAACAACGUCUCUUGCUAAUCUGUACAAAUGGAUUUGAGUGUUUUACAGACUUGUUACUGUGUUUUAAUCCUUGGUGGAAUCCCCAAGGUGGCAUUCCUGCUACCUGACAAUAAGUACAACUUCCAAUAAACCCAGAUAAAAUCUAUGGCGGACAAUCACUGUCAAAUUUCGAUUUUUUUUCUCUCUGUAUUUUACCAAUACGGACCGGCCGUUAGCUGGACGCAUUGCUCUUAAUGUUCCGGUAAUGAUGUUAAAUAAUGGUAAAUGAUGGUUAUAGCUGGUUGUCAUCUACGGUCCACUACGAUGACAGAAGGGGGGCGUUUGUGUUUUGACAUCGUUUCUAUCUUAUAAUUUUGACUUUCUAUCCCCUUUCUUUAGUGCGGAAAUGAGCUUCUAUAGUUGUGUGAAUGCAUCACUCCAGCCAAUCCAAAAAUGGGGUUUGUAACCAAUCAGCUGUAGAGACAAUGGUGACUGGCUCCGCCCCCUUACUACCUUACUGUCAAAAAGAAAAACAGCGAGCGUGUAGAAAACACCUUCGAGCGUGAGCAGAGACUAACCUCGGGAGCGAGGAAGUUCACGUUUCGCGAGGGAGCAAAUAUCUUGCGCGAGAUUAACUUUUGCGAGACGCGCUUUUACUCGCGCAAGACAGACUUUUGCUCGCGCGAGUAAUAAUAAAGAAAUAUCUCAGCUUAUUUUACCUAAACAAAGUCUUAACCCCAAGUGGCAUUAAUAGAUAUCUUCUAAAGUAAUGGCAUUUAAUGUGUUAUGUGUAUAACUUUCUGAACCAGAAUAAGGCAAAUAAUAAUACGAGCUUUGAAAAGAUAGAGAGGAGUAAUAUAUACCUCAGCAGAGAAUGAACUUAUUCUCGAUUAUGUGUGUGUGUCUUUUGUCUGAACUUCUUUGUUCUUUGUUGACAGAGAAAGGCCUGAUGCACACUUUACACCUUUUCAUAUUUUACCUUCAUUACUGGUAAUCUUGCCAAUCUAAAAGACUCAUCUUCCAUGUACUCACACAUGUACAUACUUUAAAAGACAAUCUAGUCACACCAUGUGGAAAGCCCCCCUGGAAAGGUCUCAGCCCUGUGGGUUGGUUUUCUCUGGAGCACUGACAGCAAUCAGUGUGUCCAUUCAGAGAAAAGGAAAGCACUUAGCCCCCCAAGGUGUCUCCUCAAAGACGACCCUUUUCGUCACAGAGGGAGAGAAGUGACACUGGAUGCCGCGGUAUGGGUAUGAGGUCAGGGUUAGGGAAGGUGGCUGGAGAGGAAGAGAGAGAGCCCAGAGGGGGCCAAUGCAAGGGUUACACUUUGAUGCAGGGGACAGGCGGCCUCAGGCGGGGGUUUGAUGGGACGGUCCAGGUGUGAGGAGGAUAUGCGAUGACUAGGCUGGGUAGAGUUACUGCCACUGCUUGAUGUGUUUUGGCAAAGGUGGUGUAUGGACACUCACAUAUCUGUGAGAAGUCGGAGUUACAACACACUGGGCUUUUGAUAAAUUUACAGGCUUUUUUCUAGAGAGUGGGGACCUCUGAGAGCUUUUAGUCCAACAGAGAAAGCAAGAGCAAAGAGUGACCUGACACAGGUAGGUUAUUAUGGCGGCAAAUCACUGUCAAAAAUUGAGAGCGAAAAUCAGGUUGACGCGCUCGCGUAAAUCAAACAUCCGCGAGCAAAUCUCCAUCUCGCGCGAGCAAAAGUUUGUCUUGCGCGAAACGUGAACUUCCUCGCUCGCGAGGUUAAUCUCUGCUCGCGCUCGAAGGUUUUUUCUUCGCGCUCGCUGUUUUCUACGCGUUCGCUGUAUUCUACGCAUUCGCUGUUUUUCUUUUUGACAGUAAGGGGGCGGAGCCAGUCACCAGGGGGCGGAGCCAGUCACCAGCGAGCAGAGAUUAACCUCGCGAGCGAGGAAAUUCACGUUUCGCUAGCGAGGAAGUUCGCGUUUCGUGAGCGAGCAAAUAUCUCGCGCGAGCAAAAGUUUGUCUCGCGCGAGAUAUUUGCUCGCUCGCAACUUGUAUCAAUUACUCUGAACUAUUAAACUUAUUAUCAGCAUUAGAUAUUUAAAAAAUCCUUUAAAAGGUAAAGCUUGAAGUUGUCAAGGGCAGCUUGCUUUUUACUCAGCAUUUAACCACUAUGAUAAGGUACUGAGCGUUUACUGUGAGAAGGUGGGUGGGAAAGCCCAAUUCCCUCUAUUACAGCGUACAGUAAAAGUACCUACGCCUCAGUUCUCCAGUAUAUGAAUAUACUAUAUGAGCUGGCUUGUAUUUCCCAGCGGGCAGGUUGGUCAGCUCGACCUCUGUGAAAGCUUCCGUUUCUGUCACCAGCAGCUUGACUGAAAUAAAUUGGCUUUGGUCUCUAUGGGCAAGUUUGCUGUUGCUGCAGACCCGAGGCCUUAUUGGCGGUGCCGCAGUCUCACUAGGGAAGGUCUUUGUGUGUGAGUGUGUGUGUGUGUAACCCUGACCCCGGAAAAGGUGUAUAUAUGAGAUGCUGUGACCUUUGUGACUGCUGUAGUAUAUGUGUGUGUGUGUGUGAUGUAACCCCAGUCUCGGUGAAAAGACAAUUUGAGAAUAUCCGUGACUGCUUUUUGUUGUCCAUAGCAUCAUUUAGAUAUGUUGUUGACCUCACCAGACUCUGUUUGGGAGUGCGUAGGGAGAAAUUGUUUAGGAGUUAUAACUCCCACAAAGGUUUCUUCACACUGGAUGUAGCAAUGCUACUUAUUUGCUACUUUUACAUAUUUAAUGCUUAUUCAUCAGAGGGGUGAUCAUAGGGCAAGUUUCACAGUGCAAUCGGCUAGUCAUCACAUUCUAGCCUGUGCAAUGCAGUUCAGUGUCACUUGCUUUGAUCAGUAUUGCUAAACUCCGAUUUUAAUUCAAACAAAGUGUGUUUGGAGUAGUUUGUAGAACACCAAAUAGAACAGAAACUGGUGUAUUGAUUCAGGGACCCAUGUCAGGAAAAAAUCUGAUUUAUCUAAGAUUUAAGAUAAAUUGUUUAUACGUUUUUUGAGGGACUAUAGCAACAACAGGAAAUGAGGGGGGUGCACGCUCUGACUCUGCUGAUAGGAGGCCAUUUAUACUGUAUCUUUUAAGAAAACCUAAGAAUAUGGCUUGAUUCGAAUAGUCAAAUUUGCUGAGGUGUGAAAUGACCCUGAAGUAGGUGGCCGCCAUGAUAAGAUCAGUUUGAAUUCUCUAAUGCUACUAGCAUAGAAACCACUUGGCCAUCCUUUACGAAAGUAAAGGAUAUAACUCUGUCCCACAAUUCCUUGCGGUGGCAAUAUUUAAAAAGUCCUUUAAUUUCGUUUAGUCAUUCACGAGAAAUAACGAUUACGACGAGAAGCGCGGAUGCUGUAAGUGACUGUUAGCAUAACUCAUAUUGCUACCUUGUUGAUAAAGUAAUACUUUGAACAUGGUUGUUCAUGUUGUCUGCAUAACUCAGCACUGUAACAACAUAUGACGGCAUCUAAGAAGGAGCUUUAGUUAUUCUACAUUAAUGGGACAUAAGUUCAUAUUGAAGUAGAGAGGAGCUCAGUGUGUCCUAGUAAGUCCCCUGGCAGUCUGGGAUUAUAGCAGCUUGUGUAAGGGUUGGUCUUAAACUUAGUCUUAAAUGAUGGGACAGUGUCUGCCCCCCCGGACUGAAACAGAAAGCUGGUUUCACAAGAGGAGCUCGAUAACUGAAGGCGUUGGCUCCCAUCUUACUUCUUGUGGCGCUAGGAACCACAAGUAACUCACUAUUCAUGGAGAGCAGAUUUAGGUCAGUAAGGAACCAUAAACUAUAUAAGAUACUACUGUGCCUCACCUGUUUUUUUAAUGUAUUUUUGAUUUAACAAGAAGCCAGUGAAGUGAUGCUGAUACAGGAGUAAUAUGAUCCCUUAUCAUAGUUUUUGUUUUCAACACGUGUUGCAGCAUUCUCAAUUAGAGCUACCUCAUAAUAGGGAAUUGCAGAGAAGCCACAAUUGCUGAAAUCAUUUUUCUCCAUCACUUUGAGAUAGGAAUUGCCCGAUUUUAGAAAUGUUCUGUAGAUCAGCGGUUCCCAAACUCAAGAAUGCCGCGGCACAAUUGACUUUGCCAUAUCAAUUUUAAACAUGUAUGUAUAGUAUCAACGAUGAACGUCGAAUUAGUCAAUCAAGCAUUUAACAGCGAUUUCAUGGACAGCAACUGCAAAGAUUUGACUGAAUACACUGUAAAUUCUUAAUUUGCAGAGUUUCUACUGCACAACCAAUUAAAGUCCCACAACAUCUUCCUAAUCCAAAAUGUAUAUCUACCGUAAAAUGUAUGUAGAUUGAGAACAUGAACCAAAAGAUCUCCCCAUUCAGGUACACAUCACCAACAACAUUAUAUCAGUUUCCCAAUCCCCUUGUUGUCAGCAGCCCCUCCGCCUCCCUUCAGUGCCAUUAAAUCACCUCUCCAAGGUCAGACCUUUCAUAAUUACCACUGAGGGUAAUUAGUUUCCACAGACUAAGGACUCUGGUUCCCCUCAGCACACCUUUAGUCUGUCACCUGGGCCCCACCAGGAAAAAUGAAUAGCGAAUUGCUCUAUAAAAAGGUUGACUUUAGAAAGGUGCUAGAUUUGGUAGACUGUAUGUGUACCAAGGGCGUUACAACAUGGAAGAGAAAUCAUUGGCCUUCAGAGUUAUUGAAAGUCAAAGAUGUCUUAAGAUACAGCUACAUACGGUCAUCCUUUUCUGAUUUCUUCUUUGACCUUCAGGAAACCCAAAGCAAAGAAAAAACGUAUGCAGCAGCUGUUUCUCAACACAGACACACAACACACGGUAACUCUUCUGGCGUUUAAGUUCAAACUAGGAGAUUUAGACUAGAAGACAAAACAACACAAGAUUUCCUCUGCCCUUGACAUCCCCAGAUAGUUGAAUAAAUAAAGUAAUGCUGACUCGUGGAAUCCUCCUUUGCCACUUUGUCUUUUUCAAAACAUCCCCAGAGAGUAAGCCCAAAACAGUCCUCGCUGCUGAAACAGGCCGCUGUACACCUGUAAACCCCCUCUCCGUGAAGCUCCUAAUGUGUUGACCUCAGCUCUUUUUCCUCUGACUCUCCUCCUCACCUCAAUCUGUAUCUCUCCUUUGCCAUUCUGUGUGUUGGAGAAUGGAUUUGGCCCAUUUCCUUUCACCCAUCUGCACUGUCCCCACCUCAUCACAGCAGAAACAAGGCCGUUCAUGACUUGCAUAUACCAACAUACACACACCAAGCAAAGUGAGAUCCCUCCACUAUCCACCACCAUCUGUGUCUACCGGCAUCAGCUCUAAUUUGGACUCAUUAGAAGCCUGUCUUAUUGCCAGAGGCAGAGUGUUAUAUUUGCUUGGCCUUGUCCUUACUUUGCCUCCACCCCCCGACAUGUUCUCCUCGGUCUCCCACCUUUAAUUCAGUUAAUGACAGCAACACACCUCGUAAAGAGCUAGUGAUAAAGAAGAAAAGUCCCAUAGUGGAGAAAAACUUUGUUUGGGCAUUCAAGGAGCUUUGUGAGGUAUUGACUGCCCGUCUUCCACAACCUUAUGGCAGUUUGAUGUGGCUAAGAGUAAGACAUUGAUUGUGACCGUCAAAGUCUAACUGCUGAUCAAUGGUGAGGUGCUCUGGCAAAGCUCUUCUACUGUGUGACUAAUGCACCGGUCAAGUACACACAUACAAUGCAAACUGCACUCUUUUACACCUAAACACAGCCUCUCAGUGCUGCUAAUUGCAAUCUAUUGGUCCAUGUGAUUUCUUCCUGCAGCAACCCAUUAAAAAUGCCAAUAGCUUUCAAGUCACCGUCAAGUUUAAAAUCAUUCAUAUAGUAGAGCGGGCGCCUGAAAGUGUUUUUCGUCUCGCAGGCUAUUUUUUAAUCGACCAAGUCAUGGCAGUUGAGGGGGGUAGUAGUCGGGCGAACCAGUAGUAGCGGAACAUCGGUGCUGCAUACCGUAGGCACACAACUGUCAAAACCAUUUCAUAAAUUCUUGUUCAUUCCCUUACUUGGAUCACUUGCCCUGGUUGGAGUCAGCCAGGAUUGCUUUUAAAUUAAAUGUGUCUGUUAAUAAGCAAGAAUCACUAAUUAGGACUACGUCACUAAUUAGGACUAAGUUUACCCGCAGUCGGCCGCGCAUGCAUGUUGACCCAACGUGAUUUUUUCCAACGCCAGGCGAAAUACCAGUAUUGCCUUUGCAAAUCAACUGGUCGAUCGACUUAUUGGGAACCCCGGCCAUAAGGGAUUGACAGGGAGGAAGACUUUUUUCCAGUGAGAAUAUGCACAAAAUAAGAUCAAAUGGAGUGAAUCAAGAGGGUGCGCUUACAUUAGAGUGUGUCUCUAUUUAAUCAUCUCCAGUGCACAUGGCCCUAACGAGGGGAAGGACUCUCAUUUGAUAGGGGAGGGCGGUUAAUGAACCGUGGAGACACUUGGAGGCAGCGUGCCUUGGCUUGCCAAGGCCAAAUCCUCCUGCCUUGACAAGCAGUCACUCACGCUGCAUGUCAAUAAAGCUUAGUAAGCAAAAGAAAGUGAGAAGGACGCUGUUUGGUAUAUUGUCUCACUUCUGUCUCCUUGUCUCACUGAUACUUAUGUCAGCGUCUUCAGCGUCAUCUCAGCUAGCUCUGUAGUAUGUUGUUUCCUUUGUUAGCUCCUUGCUGGGUGCACAUUUUCUGGAUCCAUUUGCAUAUCAUAUUUUAUAACUUGUUGGAGUUGUUUUUGGAGUAUUUUAAAACAGUAAAUUUUGUAUAAAUUGUAGCCAAGAUUCUAAAGAUUACAACUAUGUGAAGUAGUUUUGUGACGAGUACACGAUAGUCCUGUUUGGAGUUGGUUUUCCUCGUUUUUUACCUUACCCUUGAAUUCUAUUAUACUAGCCAGUGCUCGAUCUUAAACCUUCAAAAUUCUUUUGUUUUAAGUAGUGAAUAUCAAUUAUGAGACUUGAUUCAUGGUAUUUAGUUAUUAGUUCAAUUAAUUUUAUUUUGUAACGCCCCAAAUCGCAAAUUACAAAUUUGCCUCAGAGGGCUUUACAGUCUGUACACAUGCGACAUCCUCUGUCCCAAAACCAACACAAACGGCAUAGGAAAAAGUCCCCAAAAAAUUAAAAACCCUUCCAUGGGGAGAAUAAACAAUGUAAAAUACAUUUAAUUCUUACAGCCAGGUGUUAUUAUUUAAAAUAAUAAUAAUAAUAAUAAUAAUGAUGAUGAUGGCAGGGCCAGGCAGGUGUCAGGACCAGGGUCCAGACGGAACUAUGAUCUACGGAGACCUGCUAGGCGUGAAAGCACAAAAACUCCCGGAAAGAAGCUGAAUUAGUCAUGUGCAUUUAUAAAACAUGGAUUAUUGUAGAAAGAGAGAGUGAGAGAGGAGCUUGGUGUGUCCUAAGAAGUCCCCCGGCAGUCUAAGCCUGUAGCAGCUUAACUAACUAACUGGUCUGGGCUAACCUGAGCCAGUGUGUGUCUCUUGUCACUUAUUGCGUCAUUGUCGAUUGUAUUGGAUGUCCCAUGUUCCUGUCUGCGUUCUUGCGCCAUGGCCUUUUCGCAUUUUGGGAAUCUUUGACGAUUAAACUACUCAGCGGAGUUUUUUCCCCGGGAAUAGUUCCGGGGAACCCUUCUGGCUAUGGGCGGGCCACGCAAUCUCCAGGUGGCUGCCCGUCAUGGGGAGAAUGCCCUCCCCGGAUUCCCUGCUGGCUUCCUUGCCGCCUCCGUCGGCUCUCCUAGAGUUUCCAGAAGAGCCUUCUGGACAGCGCCUUCUGGUCACCGCUCUCACCAUCCUCCGCCCACCACGCCGUCUCCAGAGGAGGAGGCCAUCUCGUUGUCGACCGGCGACGGAGCACACUGGUGAUAGACCUCGCAGCCCAACUCCAGGCCACUUACUCCCUCCACGCUGGGCCGCAGCGCACCACUUUCCGCGCUGGUCCGCAGCGCCCCCCCCCGUUCCCGCUGGGCCGCAGCAAUCUCCCGAUCCGGUUCCCCGCCUCGCAUCCAGUACCGGACCGACCCCGCCAGUACCGGCCCCUCGACUCGCAGCCCCGACCCCACCAGUACCGGCCCAUCGAUUCCUGACCCACACUUGGCCAGUACCGGCCCCGAGACUCAUGACGCCCACUCGGCCAGUACCGGCCCCGAGACCCAUGACCCCCACUCGGCCGGUACCGGCCCCGAGACCCAUGACCCCCACUCGGCCGGUACCGGCCCCGAGACUCAUGACUCUGACUCCUCCAGUCCCCGCUCCCCGACUCAGGCUACCUCCCUCCCAUCCCGUGGUCCUCUCCCACCCUCCCGUUGGUGAUUUGAGGGCUGUCUGGGAUCCGGCCCUUGAGGGUGGGGGUUAUGGUGGGGCUGAGCCGAUGACUCCGGAGGUGUUCAGUGCCCCCGAGCCGGCGGCCAUUCCGGAGGUGUUCCGUGCCCCAAGCCGGCGGCACUGUCACGGCGGUACUGUCACGGUGUGGGUUAUUUCCUGUCUUAUUUUGUAGUCCUGCUUCUUGUCUCCCUAGGUUCAAGUGCAAGUUCAAUUUUAUUUAUAUAGCACAUUUAAAAACAACCUCGGUUGAUCAAAGUGCUUAACAAGCUCGAAAAGCAGCGAUACAAUAAAACACAGACAGAGCACAAUGUACAAUACAAAAUAUCUGACAGUAGAGAAGAAUAAAGUCAAAAUAUCAAAGCUCAACUUGAAUUAAAAGCCAAUGAAUAAUAGUGGGUCUUAAGGAGGGACUUGAACGUUGCAAUAGCUGUUCUUACAUGGAUAGGUAAACUAUUCCAGAGGUUUGGAGCAGCCACUGAAAAGGCUCGGUCACCUCUGGUUUUUAAUCUGGAUCCAGGCACAUCGAGGAGCAUCUGAUUAGACGACCUCAGUGCUUUGAUAGGUGUGUGGACAUGUAAGAGCUCCGACAAGUAGGAAGGCGACAACCCAUUUAAAAUUUUACAAUCAAUACAAAAUUCAAUCCUGAAACAAACAGGAAGCCAGUGGAGGGUAGCCAAAGCCGGUGUAAUGUGGUCGCGUUAGGUAACUUCACUUCCUGCCUUGUCGUAUCAUCCCCUGUAAUUGUCUGAUUGUUUCCACCUGUGUCCAAUCACCUGCACCUCCCUAGUGUAUUUAAGCCGUGUGUGUCACUUGUUGCGUCAUUGUCGAUUGUAUUGGAUGUCCCAUGUUCCUGUCUGCGUUCUUGCGCCUUGGCCUUUUUGGAAUCUUUGACGAUUAAAGUCUCUUUUGUUUAAGAUCUCUGCAUUUUAGUCCUGCCUUGCCCACAUCCCUGACAGCCUUGUAAGGCAAUACGUUGUUACAAGCUCUUUAAGAUUAGAUGGUCCCUCACCAGCAAGUGCCUUGUAGGUGAGAAGUACCUCUAAAUUAUAUUCUUGAUUUAACAGGAAGCCAGUGCAAAGAGGUUAAUACAGGAGUAAUAUGAUCCCUUUUCUUAGUUCUUGUCAGUACAUGUGCUGCAGCAUUCUGAAUCAACUGGAGAGGCUUAAUAAUCAUCAAAAUAAUUUACAAAAUAAAGAAUAACAGGGCACAACCCUCAGCUAACAGGGACUAAUAAGUUAGUCUCUAUGGAUGGAAUUGCUCUGGUAUCCAGCAGCACCAAAAUUUCCCUCUUGAGGGAUCAAUAAAGUAUAUCUAUCUAUCACCGUGAAGAGUUCUUGACCAGGAUAUGUCCUUCAUCUCUCCUAUAAAGAAGACUUUAAGGACUGCCUUUUCUCAUCUACUGUACGUAAUAUCGAUGGAAAAGCCUGCCCCAUCCUCUUUUCACUGUGAUUUUUGGGGUGUCUAUAAAAUUAAGCCCUCUGUAGGCUGCAACCGUUAUUUCAAACUACAGAUGUGUCAUCCUUUCGUUUCAAUGACCUUCAUUGUCCAUAUCAGUAUAGAUACCCAUUACCAUUUUUCUCCACAUUGAGAUCUGAUGUGUUUUUAAAUUAUUCCUUUCAUUUUUUGUAGCAGUUUAAAAGCUGCAUGAAUUUUAGUUGGAACAUACAGUGCAUCCGGAAUACUUAUGUACAUGUUCUUUAUUUUUAACAGAUUUGCAAAAAGCAGUUUUCACUUUGUCAUUAUGGUUUGUUGUGUGUAGAAUCUUGAGUAAAAUAAUGAAUUUAAUCCAUUUUGGAAUAAGGCUGUAACAUAACAAAAUGUGGAAAAAGUGAAGCGCUGUGAAUACUUUCCGGAUGCACUGUUUUGGCACAUUUCUCUUUUUGAUUGUUUAUUAAAGUCGGAGGUUGUGUUUAUAAUUGGAGGAUAGCUGGGAUAUGUAAAGGCUGAAUAAUAAAGUAUAUAAAUUGACAUAUUAAAGCAAUACGAAAACAUUUAAAGAUAUACAACCAACUUUCCUAGGCAUAUUGCAUGGAAUUUAAGGACAGUUUCUAAAUUGAACUUGAGUUCACAAGUCCUCCCUAACCAAUAGUCAGACCCCGACCUGCCAAUGUUGCAUCCACAGAACAAGGCUCAGUUAAAAUGUCAAUCCAUUGACUAAGAAACAUUAUGAAAAGCAAGACUUCCAUCAAGAGACGUUGCUGGAGGUAUGAGGUUUUGUAUCUAGUUAGACAAUCUCGGGAUGGUUACAAUAUGUAAUUCUUCUCAUUGGUAAAUAUUUUUAAACCCCAAAAUAGAUAAAGGCUGCCCAAUAGCAAUGACUUACUAAAUACAAUGUAGGUAAGCAAAUAUGGACAAUAAAGGUUUCUGCCAAAGCUGCAAUUUAUUUACAUCUCCGUUACAUCUCUAGUCUAAUGAACAUGUAAAGUAAUCCAGUGACCAAAUCUGGAAAACAAGCCUAAAACAUACAGCUGUAUCGUACUUCCUUACUCUAUCAUUGUAUUUACUUCUCUGAAGUUGUCUCGCGCUCUUUCAGGCUCUUUCUCCUGGGGUUGAGGAGGUCUCUGAGCUCAAGGCAAGCUCUUUGGUAGCUCUUUGGUCCAAAAAUGAAGAUGGUCUUACCCUGCCAAAAUGCACUCCUCACGUCCAGGUAGUCCGGUCCGUAAUCUGGCAUCGGGUCUGCUGAGUCAGGAUCAGGGUGUAGGCAGAGACAGGACUCAAAGAUUUUAAGAACAUGUAAAGUAAUCCAGUGACCAAAUCUGGAAAACAAGCCUAAAACAUACAGCUGUAUCGUACUUCCUUACUCUAUCAUUGUAUUUACUUCUCUGAAGUUGUAAGAGGAAGAUUGCUAUACAGCAAACUAAUUUGCCCUCGGUAACCCCCCAUCUUAAGGGUGGAGGUAUGGCUAUAAUUGUGGUGCUUGUAUGCUUCUCCUGGGUCAAAUGAAAGAGUAGAUUGGAAAUAAGGAGGAGGUAACGAGAUAACCAUACUGCAUUAGUUAACAAUGUUUAGACAUAAACCCACAUAAUUAUAUCAUAGGUAUUUAAAACCAGACAACUGCUCUGAUUGAAACUGGAAGGCCAUGAUUAAUUAACACCUAUUUACUGUCCUUAGCAUGAAUUUUCACAGAUUUCUGCUUCCACAUUCCCCCCACAAAAGGUCACACUGUAACCAAUUAAGUCGUCUCGUUUCAGUAAAAAGGAUAUUCAACCCCACGCCGAGUUCUCUAACAAAGAAAUAUGUGAAAUACAAACUAAAAACCUAAAAUAAAGACAUCAAUUCCAACAUUUGAAGAUAAUUUCACCACAAAUACAUUCAAGAUUCUCAAUUAAGUCUCAAUCUUUCUUGAAAAAUUGAGGGGGGCUUGACAGAAAAAGUUAAAAUGUCCAGAAACCGAAAUCUUGUUUUUAUUAAACAUAGCAGACUUAUGUAUUGUAUGAAUGUCAGUAAAUUCACGUCUGAUGGGCUAAUAGGUAUGCUGUACAUGUCAAUAUUACUAUACAAAUAAAAGAAAUAAACUACAAAAUAAAACCCGGAAACCAACCCAAACCGUGACAGUACCCCCCCCUCAAGGGGUGGAUCCCAGACGGCCCAAAAGCACACAAGGGUGGGCAAAGGACAGACAACAGGAUGAGAGGGAGAGGACCAGGGGACGAGGCUCGGGCAGCCAGGGGAACUCGGGCGGACGGCCCGGGGGGCGCCGGCGAAAAGUCACGGGGAGAAUGUCUCGAGGGGUCGGGCAGCCUGAGGAACUCCUGUGGGCGGCCCGGGGAUCGGGCGGCGGGGGAGCCUCCGGGGAUCGGCCCGGUAGGCGGGCUCUGAGGCAUCUGCUGCAGGUCACAGGGGGCCGGGGUCAGAGGCGCCGCCUGCAAGUCACAGGGAGCCGGGCACGACGGGUCGGCUGCUGGUCACGGGGGGCUGGUCACAGGGGCGCCCGCCCAAACCGUGCCAGAAUCCCCCCCCAAGGCCCGGAUUCCAGACGGCCCUCAGAACACUAAAGGGGACCACGGGACGGGAGGGGAGCGGGGACUGGGAGGAGUCAGGGGAGCAAAUUAGGCAGCGGGGAAUGGAGGCGUCAGGGGUGCAAAUUAGGCAGCGGGGAAUGGAGGCGUCAGGGGCGCAAAUUAGGCAGCGGGGAAUGGAGGCUUCAGCGGCGCAAAUUAGGCAGUGGCGAAUGGAGGGCGUCGGGGGCGCGAGUCGGGAGCGGGGACUGGCGGCUCGGGGGCGCAAGUCGGGAGCGGGGACUGGCGGCUCGGGGGCGCGAGUCGGGGAGCAGGGACUGGCGGCUCGAGGGCGCGAGUCGAGAAGCGGGGACUGGAGUCGGAGACAGGCGUACUGGGGUCGGAUGUCGCUGCGGCCAAGCGGGAAUGGGAGGCCGCUGCGGCCCAGCGGGAACCGGGGUACGCUGCUUCCCCUUGCCUGGGCUCUUUCUCCUGGGGUUGAGGAGGUCUCUGAGCUCAAGGCAAGCUCUUUGGUAGCUCUUUGGUCCAAAAAUGAAGAUGGUCUUACCCUGCCAAAAUGCACUCCUCACGUCCAGGUAGUCAGGUCCGUAAUCUGGCAUUGGGUCUGCUGAGUCAGGAUCGGGGUGUAGGCAGAGACAGGACUCAAAGAUUUUAAGUGUUUUUUUGUUGAAGUUACAACAAAAACACUUAAAAAAUAAAACACGUAAAUGUAAAUAAACCCAAACCGUGACAUUAAUAACCCUAACUCAAUAACUUCUAUGAAGUUAUUGUAAAUAUUUGGUCAAUUCAGACUGGAAACAUCACUCACACUCUCCGCUCAUCCUUUUGUGUCAGCAUAUGCUGUUCCUAUUGUUGUCCUACUGAUUUGAGGAGACGUCCUGCUUCACCAGUGUUGCAACUAGAGGCAGAAAGCAGAAAGCUGAGACUCCAGACGCCGCAGGAGCUCAAGCAUUGAUCAGCAUCUGUUCCAUCCACUUCUUCCUCAUUCUAUCCUCUUCACCAUGUUUUCUCUUGCUAUAUUUAUGUCAUUUUUUCUCAGACGCCAACAAUUUUAUUUUCUUCUUUUUUUGGGCCUUGUAUCCAGCAUUACCACCAGAGGUUGAUGUUAGUGAGAUAUGUAUUCAUCCUGCCAUUACAUUUUUCAUUUUAAUUAAGAUUAUUUUGACUAUAAUCCAAUCAUCAGUUUCUUUGCAACCUCGCUGAGGAAAUGUCCUCCCUCUGAGGCCAAUAUUUUCCCAAAGCUACGAUUAAAUGACAGUAAGGGGAGUGAUCUUUUUUUUUACUAUGUACAUUAAGCAUACACGGUUGUCCGGUAACAUUUCAGUCUUGUAGAACAAACUUCAUAAGCCUAAAGUUUGCAGUAGGUGAAGUAUGUUUCAAUUUAAAGCUGGAGGCCAUCAGAGCACUUUCGCUGAUCCAAACCUAUGAAUGCAAAAUUCAUACCGGCUGCAUAUGAGUCUCAGCACACUGAUUGAUUUUAUUGUUCGCCUCGUUCCUAAAGUGCAGCCCAUUUUCUUUUCUCUCGACAAUUCCUAAAGCAUGUGACCCUUUGAUGCUCUUAUCUCCUCGGACAUCAAAGCCUUGCACUAAUCAGCCCAAGCUGGGCUUUACUUCCACAAUUUAUUUCGAGGAGUCCUCUGUUGCAUAUUGCUGCAAAAAUGACGUCUGUGCUUUUGUCUCAAAAAAAAUCCUGCUCUCUUUCAGAUGUCAAACCCUUUUUGGAAUACAUUUAACACUUCACAAGUUGAAGAAAUGCUGCCAACAAACAGGAAGUAUGUCAGAUAUUUCACAGGUCACUCAUCGGUAGCUAUUUUCAUAACACUGACAAAAUACAACUGUGUGAAACAGAUUUUUUGGCUCCCAUUGACUAGCCGAUUUGACAGAUGUAUGUGACAACUUACUGCUCAUAACUCUAUGAGUCAUACAGUUUCACGUCUUCGAAAUAAAUUAACAAAUUGCUGGUGUUGCUUUUUUAAAUGUAUAGAGUGCAAUCAAAAACUCACUAAGGCAUGUAUAUUAUUAGUUAUUAGGUUUCCUCUAGCGAUAUAUUUAUUAACGGAUAUUGAUAUGUAGUAGUAUGUAUUUUGUGUACGUGAUGAUUAAAGUCACAUGGACAGUAGCAAGUUUGAAUAUAGGACUUCUUUAGCCGACUCAUUCCUUCCAACUCAAUGCAUCAUUUGGGUUUUUAAGUGUCCAUACAGUUUCCAGUAAGGUUGACGUACUGAACAUUUGAAUCUUUCUCUUCAAUUUAAAUAGGAAGAUAUCAGGAAGAUAUCAGAAUUAGACAUAAUAGUGGUCAAAUGGCAAAAGUAGCCCUUUACAUUUCAGGGAGUUACAUUGAGGAGUUCAUGUCAGUUUUAUUCAGUUCACCACGUGCCAAAUCCUUUAGUUCGGACUACGAGACUGUUACACAGGCCUAGUGAAGUAGAAUGAGCAGUGAUUUUUUCUCUUAUUGGCUGUGGCGGCGGCCUGUUUGGGACUCAACUAGCGGGAUCGUGGACGGAGAUAUUAAGAGGUGCCCAAAGAGUUAAUUGUCAAAAGUUGCGUGGGGAGAAAGGCAGGACUCAAACACAGUUUUCUCAAACAACAAAAGGGGACUUUAAUAGUCAAAAAAAGGUUUUCAAAAUCAAAAGGCCAAAAAGGCAAAAACAUAGGCAUGAAGCAGAAACAGGAACUGGGAACAGGCACAUGGACUAGGACUUCCAACAAGUGACAACAGACACACAUGGCUUAAAUACACUAGGGAGGUGCAGGUGAUUGGAAACAGCUGGAAACAAUCAUGACAUGACAGACAAUCACAGGGGAAGACAGGACAAGGCAGGAAGUGACGUUACCCAGGGAGAACAGAGGCAAAGAAAAUACAAAAUAAAACCAGACAUGAAUCCAAACCGUGACAGUUAAUAUUGGAGACUGAAUGAGGCAAUCUGCAGCUUUUACAUAACGCUGAAGAGAAGAGAGCGCCGUGGCACCAUUGCAUGGGUCACCUCAUCAGCAGAAAUUAUUAUUAUUGAUUUGUGCAGAGAAUGCAGCCUCAAACGUUUGUGUGUGUGUGUGUGUGUGUGUGUGUGUGUGUGUGUACUUGUUUCUGUCGAUGUCUAAAAACCAGCCUGGUGAGGGAAAAUGUCUGUGAAAAGCAGCAAGGGACUAUAUUGUGGGUAAUAGCAUUAGCACAGGGGGGUCAAACUCAUUUUAGGUCAGCCCACAGAAGUGAUUGUGCAUGCGUGGCGACCUGACGUGACCUUUUUUUUUUCCAAUGGAAGGUGAUCUACCGGCACUGCGUUGUUGAACAACCUGGUCCUCCUGGUCUGGACCCCCAGUAGACUGUAGAGCAGCGCUGACUUUUGUAAAGGAAAACCCCUUUUUCAUAUGUAACAAUAUGCAUAUUCUUUCAUCACUAAGUUGGCCACAGUCUCUGUCCCAUUCAAUGUAAAACACAGAUAUGGAUAUGAAGUGGUUUUGUUUCUUGUAAAAACUGUGUUUUUAUUUUUAAAGACAGUGACAUGUGUCACUGGGAGAGGUUUGCUAUCAGAAAAUGAUCAUAAUGACCACUGUAUAAAGAUAUGUUGCCGGAAGUGAGCUCAGACGAGAAGCACUCCAAUUAGGGGCACUUGAACAUUUAAUCAGGGCGAAUCUCUUUGGUGACAUUCAGGGCAAGACUUGAUAAGGACUAAGUGACAUUUAGGCUACUUUGUCUAGUCUGCUGGCACUCUGACCAGAUGCAGAUAACCGCACUUAUUGAAAUCACUACUUAUCUGUGUGGCAUACCUGAGCAUUACCAACUUGCUCUGAUCUUGUUUUCCGUGCACAGAGCUUGUGUCAGUUGAUUUUGGCUAAAAUGUAUUUAUUUUUCAUUGACCACCACAGUCUGAGAGAGAAGUUGAUCGUUACAAUAGCAUCCUUCUCUCUUUCAGAGAGUCCACACCUCUACUCUUGGCCUUAGAUGCUUGCAAUUCCAAUAUGUGACUCUGAUAUUUAUUGCUGCUAGCACAAAGUAUGGCCUUGAUGAUUUUAAAGCACAUAUGAGAUCAAUAAAACCAUUAGUGUGUCCAUUCUUCUGAAUACUACUGUAGCUCUAUUCAAAGUUUGGUUUAUCCACACUUAAAAACUUUUUUUUUCUGAUUACACCAAUUAUCCAUAUACCUUAGUAGCAAAAUACAUGGCCUCCAUCUGGUAUCUGGCAAGCUAAUUGGCUAGUGAUGCAUCACUGGUCAGCCAUUUUUGACAGAAUGUGAGAUACUAAUGUUAGCACCAGAGAGUGAUUCUAUUCAGAAGUAUGAAAUUAAAAUCUGCUGUACACAGACCACAGUAUGCGAGAUCAUCAACAGUGACAGAUGGGCAGAUGAUAGAUACUAAUUGGAAGCCGGUCUGGAAAAUGACUGGGUCACUAGCGCAGAGCUUGUACUGGAGCUCACACAAGCCAAAGGCGACCUGCUUUACAACCAUUCAACACCUGAGUGUAAAAUAACUAUUUUUAAUGUGUUUCGGUCCAAUCCGCGGUUUAGUGAUGUAUUUAAAUCACCCUCAUGUCCAAACUAAGAUUGUAUGAUGCUACAAAAAAAUAUUUCCAGGAAAGAAACACAUUUUCAGCAAUCUUCAGCAAGUAAAAAGGUUACCCCAAGUGUCAGUUGUUUGGGAUUCAAGCAGUAGAGCACACUUAGUAGUAGAAAUUAUAAUACAUGUGAUAAUGUCUAGUGUUAGAAUUUUAGUUUGUCUGUUUUAAGCCAUUAGUAAUUACAAUUAGCAUGUUAGAUAAACACAAUUCAUAGUAAUUUAAAUCAUAUAAUUACUGUAUUGCCGUCCUUUAUGGAUUUCUUACAAAGAGUUUUUUUGGGGAGCACUGUGAGGCAAAUAUUAUGAUUUUGGACUAUAUACAACAACCUCAUUAAAGAUAAAGCCUUCCUCUUUAAUAACGCUUAUAUUUAGAACUUGCUCAAGUUAGCCUGGACCAGCUCUUAGAUAAACUGCUACAGGCCUAGAUUGCUGGAAGAUUUCCUCUCUCUCUUCUCUCCUUCUACAAGAAUUCAUAGCUCAUUAAUGCACAUCACUAAUUUUACCUUUAGAGUUUUUCUGCUUUCUCGCUUUGCUCGCUUUGUUCCUGCCUCCUGCCGUGGCCAUGCUAAUACCUGAUGCUGCUAUCAUUAUUCUAAAUAUUAAUCACAUUACUAUUCCUGUCAUCAUAAACCAACAUUGCCGACUUCGCUUAUUUCCUCAAGUACUUUCCCUCCCGACAGGCUUCUGUGGAUUAUGGUUCUUUCUAUGGUGGUUGUCGUCCACCUGGCUUACUACUCGCAAUAAAUCAUUUCUGUUGUAGGAAUUUAAUGUAAUCUACAUCUUAUGCGUUGUUCAUUCUGUACACAUCACAUCAAUUGUAGUCCGUCCAUCCUAUCUCCUCUGCUGUUUUAUUCCUUUUUUCACUAUUACAUUUUUUAUUAUUAUUUAUAUAUAAUAUUAUUAUUAUUUAUUAUGUAAGGAUUUUGUGUACAGACUGUAACGCUCCCUGAGGCAAAUUUGUAAUCUGCAAUUUUGGCUAUAUGAAAUUAAUUGAAAAAUGAAAAGUGUGGGGACCCCUGCGAAUUGAAUUACUAUCACAUACCCUAAUGUCGUAUAAUAAAUAAAGUAUAGCAGCAGCAGUGUUUGUUUACAGUGUACACAUCAUUUUACCCAUAUAACACAGGCAACAGCCGGCUGUUUGUGUGAGGGCGCUGAAAUGACAAUUUAUUCAGGAAUGUAGGGAGGGGGCCUGAAGGGGACACGGAGAUUAUGGGAUCAUAAUGACAGAUAAACACAUUCAGCUCUUUGCCUGCAUUUAGCAUCAAGCUUACUGCUUUGCUUUCCCUUUUUAUUUUCCUGCAGUCACUCUCUCUUGUCAGUCAGGGCAUGUCAGGGAAUAGUCCAGCCGUGUAUCAGGACUUAGACACGGACUAGUAAAUUUAAGCAAAAGGUCAUUUUCAACAGAAAGCCGCCGCUAUACACAGGGAACUGAGGACUCACCAACAAAGACUAGAAGCUUAAUAAAGACAAGUGACACGGUUUAAAUACACUGGGAAGGUCCAGGUGAUUGAACACAGGAGGAAACAACCAGGGACAUGCCAGACAAUCACCGACGGGAGAAAAGACCAGGGCAGGAAGUGAAGUAAACCAAGGACUCAAGAGGCGGGAAUACUACAAAAACCGGAUGAACCCACACUGUGACAUGUCACGGUUCUCUCUAAUGUUUUCAAAUGUAAAAAAAGUCCUCCUAAAAUGGCUUAACCAUGAUAAAAAAGUGUAAUUACUCUGGAUGUACUUGGGUAAAGGGGAACCCCUGUGAGUAAAUGAGUAAAAAGCAGUUUAUUAGUACCGGUGAAGAAAUAAAUCAAUAUUAGUAUAAAAGUAUAAUAAUACAAGUAUUCGUAUAAAACAUGGAGAUACUAGGCUAAAAACACAUGUGUGCACAGUAUACAUGUAGUUUAACGUUGAUAGAGUCAGCAUUACUACUUUAGAAGAGGCUCUCAUGAAGGCCUCACAGCCCAGAAACAGCAGCAGUCAAAAUGUGGUACCACGUCUAUUGGAUCCGACAAAACCCCACGCAAAAAUUAUUAACCGCUGUGUAUUGUAUAUUGUACACAAAUUCUUCGAACAGUGAGAAGAUAUAUUUGUUCGUGAUGAGUAAACAAUAUUCCUGUUGGUUCUGGCUUGGUACGGCCACCUAUAGGGGGUAGUGCAGAGAGAAAAGGUACAAAUAAUUCAAUUCAAUUCAAUCUAAAGUCACAGGUGUCAAACCCAGACCACUUCACUCUGCAAGCCGAGAUUUAGUCACUUGACUAGGGACCAUGCUGUAAUGAGACACUCUUGAAUAGCAUGGCAAGGACAGAGAGAGCAGAACUGUGGAGCAGUGACUCUGCACAGACCUCUGUUUUUAUCAGAUGGAUAAUUUUCUCUUGAGUGAGGAUGUGGACAGAGGUAGAGUCAUGUCAGUCAUAGCGGGACAUAGGACCAAUUUAAUUCCAUAUUUUCUAUCUCACCUUCCUGACAUGUAGGAGAAAUCUGCACAGCUGGAUUGGGCGAGAAACCCAUUCCUCUCCUCCAAAGCAAGCUACCUGUCAUUUUUCAUGAAAAACUCCUGGAAGUGUCCUCUGACUGUGGCCUCCAGAUGAAGUUUGAAAUAUCCACACACACAGCUUUGGGUGUGUGUUGAAGAGGAGCACCCUGACCUGGGACAAAAUCCUCUGUCCCUGGGACAUUAAACAUGACCUCAGACUAGCCUUGUCAAGCAGAACUCCAGACUUUUCACACCAUUGAUCGUAGUAUCCUGUUGCAGUAGAACAUUUGAUUGGUAUGGAACUGCACUCAGCUUGUUUGAAUUGUAUUUAUCAGAUCGAUCCCAGUUUGUGCUUGUAAACGUGGAAUCCUCGAUGACCACUAAUGUUGGUCAUAGAGUCACGGAGGUUCUGUGCUUGGACUGAUUUUAUUUACCCUGUAUAUCACAUAUGUCAGACUCGCGGCCUGGUGGUCAAAUCCGGCCCACCGCUGGCCUGCCGGAUGACUUUGCUUUUGUGAGGGAUGAGGGACGAGAGGCUGGUCGCCCUUUCGAUCAAAGGGGGCAGUAUCUGGCCCGAACCUGAAAUGAGUUUGACACCCCUGCUGUUUAUGCUUCCUUUGGGCGAUCUUAUCAGAAAACACUGCAUAAACCAUUGUUAUGCAGACAAUACUCAACUGUAUCUGUCGAUCAGAUCGAGACCGACCAGCUUGUUAGACUUCAAGAAUGUCUUGGAGACAAACUUGACCGGCAACUUCCUGAUACUAAACUCAGAAAAAGUUAUCUUAAUAGGCCCGGAGCGCCUUCGAAGUCAGCUGUCACAUGAUACAGUUUCUAUGGAUGGAAUUGCUCUGGUAUCCAGCAGCACAGUCAAGAAUCUUGGAGUUCUUUUCGACCAGGAUAUGUCCUUUAACUCUCAUAUAAGGAAGACUUCAAGGACUGUGUGAGGAUGUCACGACCGAGGGAAUCCUGGAAUUAGGGGGCAGGCAAGCAAGACUUGGUCCACGUAAAAAAAUACGUUUUCUUUAUUUGUAAAAAAAGGAAGUUUUCUGAUACAUGUCUGAUUAAACAGAUAUACAACCAAACAAAACCUAAUUCAUUAACUGAAUAAACUUAACAUAACCUCAUCUAACACGUGCCCUCAGCUACACAGAUGUUCCACCAUUCCCCCUCAACGGUCAAUGUCCUCCACCUUUACAGCGUCGUCAAUCAAUCCGCCCGAGGUUGCACCAUGUGCACAGGUGACACCCAUUGUGACACUCUCCCCCCUGUAUACCUCGUCCAAACCGAUGAUGUCACUGCUGACAUCAUCCCCUGCAAAAACACUACGCCUCACUGCCUGCCCUCCCCUCUAGCCUCCACAUAUAUACCAACAUGGGGACAAAGGUGAGUUGUCACCCACUUUGUCACAGACGGCCUUUUUUCAUCUAUGUAAUAUAUCGAAAAUCAGGAACUUCCUGUGUCAAAGUGAUGCAGAAAAAUUAGUUCAUGCGUUUGUCACUUCCAGACUGGACUACUGUAAUUCUUUGUUAUCAGGCUGCUCUUGUAAAUCUCUUAAGCCUCUCCAGUUGAUUCAGAAUGCUGCAGCACAUGUAUUAACAAGAACUAAGAAAAGGGAUCAUAUUACUCAUGAUUUAACAGGGAGCCAGUGCAGAGAAGUUAAUACAAGAAUAGAGGUACUUCUUAUCUUAAAGAGCGUCUGCUUCCAUUUCACCUUCUGUAGGGACUUCUACACUUGGGGAGUUUUAGCUAGCUAGUUAGCUACAUGCUAACACCGUAUUUUCGCUCACUUGACUGUUUGGAAGUGGAGGCUGGUUCACCACAGAUUGAAAUAAGAUAAACUCCGUCACGUCGCCACGUCAACAUUAACAUCUCUAUCCAGCUACAACGCACGCAGAACUGUGAUGAGGACACACCACUGGGACAUGGAUGAAAACAGGGCAAUUUUAUCCAAAAUAAUUCAAGUUUUGUGGGGCUCUUGAGUUGGUCUUUCCUCAACACGCUGAUUGGGUGUUUCCCCAACAAACUAGGUUCAUAGAUGCAUCUCAAUAAUUAUAUAUAUAUUGAAUUGUUUGAUUAAGAUUAUUAUGUUAAGCUGUUGGAAUAAUAAUAUUUAACUGCAAAGUAAUAAUGGGUGUUUGAUACCCUUUUUUUUGCUUUGAAUCAUACUUUGAUGUUUACUGAAACUGAUUGACUGGUCCUACCAAAAACAAAAAAUCCACCAGCCGCCACUGAAUUUGAUUCCUAAAUGUGAUACACGUUUAUUUUGUACACUUGCUUCCAAGUUGCAGCCAGCACCUGGGAUAUUGCUUGGUUAAUUGUGUAAUCCGUGGUCAGAACAAUGCACAGGCUUCUAAAACCUGUAAUUAAAAUAUUUACUCAUGAUUGUGCGAAGCAGAAUGAUCGUGUUCAGUUUCACAACCACCAGGUUGCACGAAUAAUCAGUGUCCAAUCAGCUGACAUUGUGCUGUUAUCUAUUGUCCGAGCGGUUUCUGCCACGGAGGUGAGUGACCCCCACACUGGGAAGGGAAUUUGUUUUAAAAUGUCUCAGAAGAAAAACGGACAGGUGUCAUCCUUAUUACUAGGCCUGAGAGAAACUGAGAGAUACAAAUGUUAACGUGAAGCAAAUUUUCCUGUUUUAUGUUUCUCCUUUUACACCCCCAGGACCUUUAGACAAUUUUAGUUAUUUUUAUUUAUAUCAUGAAUAUUUUUAGUUGUUGUUAGAUGAUGUCUUUCUACAAUCUGUCCUUUUCAUCACAACCCAGAAAAUUUGUUUCAAAUGAGGCAAUGCAACGCUGUCACCAAACAACUUUGUUUCACAUGCCUUGGGUAAUGUAUUCAUUUGCCUUGACCCAUCACACGUUUUUUUUUUUCUUUCCCAAAAUUAACCAUUUAAGACGCCUUUUUAAACCUAUUUUUACUCUUCCUAGAACCUUCCUAAUUUCCUUAUGGGCUGACGGAGCAGGCACUCCAGCGCCGAACAGUUAAGAGUCAACGGGACACACACUUGGGUUUGUCUGCUCAGUCAGUAUUUGGUCUCUGAGGCCCAAAGUUCAUGGCUAAGACAUAAAAGCCUGUCUUUGAGUCAGAGGAGGUGGUUAGCGAGGAGAAAGCUUAGCAGGCCUGCCUUGUGUUGUACCUUAACACAAUCCAGCUGUCGCCACUACGAGGGAGUACAGACACCGUCUCUGCUGCUCUCCCUCACCUUUCUCUCCUUCCCUCACACUGCUUUUAUGUUACAACCUGUUUCUUCGGAUACAGGCAAACUUCCAUGUGAAAUGACAGUGAUGCCAGAUUCAAUGCUCUUAACUUCAAAGACUAACUUUAGCUUGUCGGCUACUUCCUUGAAGGUUUUCCCGCUGCACAGAUUCACUACUCGUGGAAUCCUCACUGGCUGCACAGCUGCACGUUUUAGACUCAAUGCAAUUUGCCCAUAGUGGAGCAUAUUGAAACCGCAAAGCCAAUUAGGAGGGUAAAGUCCGGCCUGUGUGGACAGCUCUGCUCAGCAGUGAUACAGUGAUCAUACAAUGUUAUGAUCCGAAGAGGAAAAGAGUCUCAGUUCAGGAAGUGAAUGGGCAGGCUGACACAAACUGGCGGAUUGACAUUUCCUCUUUCGGAGCGUUUGAUUUUUUUUUUCUGCUCUGUGAGUAUCAGGCCGACAUGGGGUGAGCAGGAGCACAGUAAUGAGAGUAACUCAGUUCCUCUUAAUUAUCCAAUGAAGUCUGCUUUUGACCUUAGCGCGGCCUCCCAUCCAGUUGAAGAGCAGUCGCACACAUAGAUACUCUCUCACAUCAAACACUGCCGGAUCCCUGCAUCUAUUCAUCCUCAUACACAUGUAUGCAAUCUGGAGGUAUGCUCCCACUGUCUCAGUCUUCACCUCUGUGCCUGCAAGGUGUAAAUGGUGGGUAAUGGUGUGUGUCAGAACUAUGUUACAGCCCAUUAGGCACGUGGAGCGAGUUAAUCUGAUCCAACGUCUCUCUUCCCCAUUUUUGAAACCCCCACCAGACGUCCCUUGGCUCAUGCUUAGAGAAGACGGGGGGAGAGGUUAUGCCGUGGGGGACUCAUCCCGAAAAAAAAAAAAAGCUGUGACGUGUCCCUGCCUCGACACCUUAGCCCAAACCACUUCCAUAUGUCCUAACCGACUGGUGGAAUUACCCCGCUCUGUCAGAUGCUGGUGACUUGCAUCCUGUGCAGAGUCAGCAUUGCUUCCUCCCUGCUGGACGUGGGGCGGGGGGGGUCACAGCGAUAUGAUGUGUAGUCAUAAUAGGAGAGUUUAAAAGAGUUGCCUUUCCGGGGAUGAAUCACGCAACAGCUGAGGUUUGACUCUGAUUCCAUUGGACCUGUAGACACACACAAACAGGUUUCAGAAGGUCCACCGCACACGGCAUGCCUUCAUGUGGUGAGGUUGUAUAGGCUGAAAAUCCAACAGCACGAUUCCCAGCCAAGAAUUUGAGGGUUAAGUGCUUUCAGACGUCUGGAUUCGGUUUCAUUGCGAGUCGUGUAUAUUUUUUAAGGGGGCCAAGCUCCGGACACGCUGAGGCAGAGAAAUGUUUAGAAUGUGUUGUUAAGAAAAAAAGGUAUAAUUAUCUGUAUAACAGUUGGAUUCAUUCAUUUGUAAAGAGAGGACAAAUGAGAGCUUCUUAAAAACAGCAACUGACACAUAAUCAGAAAGUGAUUAAUUUGCUGAUAUGCCAUGUGAAAAUCUGAAAGAAUUGGAAUAUUUCAUCACAGUCAUUGCAUGUAAUAAACAAAAUAAAAUGUGCUACUGCAAAACACUUUCAGCAUAACAUUGAACAAAUGGAUAAAAGACAAACAAAAGCCCUGACUGCUAUUCAGCUUUCAAAUGAUGUUAGAGUUUGUUGUUUAAAAUUACACACCUUGAAUAGUUGUCAUGAAUAUGGAAAUUAGUUGUAGAGAGUAUUUUUUGUACCAGGAGAUUGUUUAUUGGUUGUGGAGAUCAAAGUUCUUUUGGAACCAGUGUCAAGUUGCAAUUUGAGGAACUGAAGGUUUUGGGCACUUCUGUGUUGGCUUCUGGUUUCUUACAAGAAAGUCUCCCCUCAACCUGAAUACAUUAAAUUCAUGUUCAUAAUGAAUAAGAACAAAGAUAUAGAUUUUGUUGCUCAUUACAACUGAGUGAGGUAAAACACAUAUUUGCAUUUUAAUUAUUCUCAUACUUUUCUUUAUGUGAGAGUAUGUUUCUCAGACAAUCAAAUGUCAGCUUUCAGUUAAAACAGGUUGAGCACUGCUAGUUUGGCAGAUAAUUCUGGAUUAUUGCACAAUUCUGGUUUCCAUCCCUUUGGCCACUGGUUCUUCAAGAAGUAGCUGGAGUUCUGAGUCCAAACCAAUCCUAUUAAAAGACAAAAGCAAAAUGCUCGUCUGUCUCUCAAUACUUUAUGGAUUCCUUACUCCGUCUGAGGCUUUGCGCCCAAGCUUUUCGGGGUCAUACUGGUUACAUGCAUCUUUAAAAACAUCUCACUGCGGGCUCAGAGACUUCCUAAAACAGCUGGGCGCUGUGGUUUUCAACAAAUGUUGCUGAAACAGGAGCAAACAGUGAACAAAAGCAAAGUGAAAUCCUUGUGUGGGACAAUAAGGCUGAUCCUGAUUCAGAUUUGUUGGACACUAUUUGAGCAGCGGAUCAGCUAUAGUUUUUCAGGCAGGAGGACGGCCUAUGUUGACGGAAAUGAAGGAGCGUGUCCACCACUGCAAAGGGUGUCUCACUGAUGUCUUGAAAUUUGGAGCUGUAUGGCUCAGAGGAAGACGACUUAUGGGCUUUGAUACACACACGCACACUUAUUAGUAGAUACAUUCCUUGUUAUCAGAUUUCAUGGGAUUAACCGUGUGUCAUUUUCUGACUUUUAUAUUUAGUUGUGUCUCAGUUCAUAUCAGUUAAUAUCUACCUUGCUACUAUGUCAUAUAGAGAAGUUGUACUAACCUACAAUACAUUUUUUACAGGGUGCAGUUUCUAGAAAACCAUACCCAACCAGACACCCAUUUCUCCGGCUUUAAGGAAGUGUCGCUCUCUGAAUGUAAAUAGUGACGAGGGGAUUUCUUCUCUAGUUUCAUAAUGAAACAAAAAUGAGUAUUAUACUUUUCAACAGUAAUGUGCCUGAGGGUUCCACUCCUGGGUUUACUCACUUUGGUAAAAUGUAAUUCAUUUAUUGACAUAUUUAAGUAUCUGGCCAUGAAGACAAAUAACACACUUUGACAACACAGUUUGCAAUUAUUUUAGAAACACUUUUUCUAUCCUGAAGAGUAACUUUGGACACACAAGGUUUUGGUGUUAAUGAGAGGUAGAGGGAGCUAGAGGCUGAGCACACUAAAAGUAUUUUCACACCACCUUUCCUACAUACCGGUUAUUAUCUGGGCUGGCCAACUGUUUAUUUUCUAGCUCAAUUGCUUUGUGGGAGUGUGCUUGGCAAAUGAGGUUAAUGUAAUUCUCCAAGCGAUGAUGUGGUGCCUGGGAACAAUGGAUUGGCCGAACCAUUUGUGUGUGUUGUUUCAGGGGCGUUUGGAUGGUGGAGUAAUUGCUUCCAGAGCUCCCUGUGGAGAAUUGUGCUUCCUCAACCCAAAAGUGAAAACUUGUGACAAUCAUGCUGCCCACCACUACUUAUGGCAUUCUUGGGCCAGAGGGAUGGGCCAAAUCAUUUUCCCCCAGAGAGGGAGGUUGAGAAACAGCAGCGGUUUUGGGUGGAGUGACUGAUUGCAUGUGUUUUAUGUCUUUGUAUUGUAUGUCUGUGUAUGUAGUUCCAUGUGUGUCUAUAUUUAUGUUUGUCCACCUGAGUUCGUAACUUCUCUCAGUUCAGAUUAUUUAGUGAGUGAGAACACAGCUCGGAGCGAUUUACUCAUGUGUUACUCCAUGUAUGAAUGUCUUAAAUGUCUCUUUCCUCACUAGAGGCUUUUUGUCAAAACAACUUUGAUAGAUAAAAAUAAAAUGGUUGAAUAUGUUACCAGGUGUGUAAUAUUGCAUUAUUCUGAUUUGAAAUGUUUUAUCUAUUUUUGUACCAAGAUGUACCAUCUUAAAUACUUUUCUACAAUAACUUAAUGCGCCAGGUUUAAUACGUGCCGUCGUUUGUUCACCGUCCAUUGUUUACACCUCUUUUUUUUUACACCGGUUUAAUAUCACAAUUAUGCACUAAGCAUUGUGGGUAAUUGCGUCAGGCAGCGAUUGCCGACUUGCAUAAAUUGGGCCUAAAGGGCUCAAUAUGCCUUGGAGAGAGCCCUUUGAGUAGAACAAUUAAAUAUAAUGCUUACAAGUUAGCUGGAACAUGGGCAAUUCUAUAAGGAUUUACAUAUUACACAAGAAAUUAUUCUAUUUUUAACCAAAGGAGAAAAGAUGGAAAGAAAAGGCAAAGACGGAAGAAAAGGCAAUGAGUCAGAAGACACAUGAAGCCUAGUUUAUGCUUCUGCGUUUUCAGAGCGACGCAGACUCAAGCCCCCCUUGCGUGUCCCUUGCGUCGCUUUUCACACCUCCUUGCGUCCUUCCGUUUAUCAUGCCAUUUUUCUAGGCUUGCGUCAAAAGCGACGCAAGCAACGCAAGCCUCCCGCAGCACCAGGCUGUGAUUGGUCCGCUAACUACAUCCUUUACGGAGUCUCACAUUUCCGUUUUCAUAGCACAAUACCGCCAUUAUUAAAAUGAAGAAUAUUUACGAGAGAACGGAUCAGAUUUAAGAACUUUUGUCAGAAGAAAUGCGUAAAUAUGACCGCUUAUACAAGCCGUCAUUGGCGGCGACCCCUCUCACCCCGGAUAUAACAAUGUCAUUUCACUACCAUGCUAAUAAACCAUCUGGGGGGUGGGGAUUGAUUCUGAUUUAUUGGGGACAUCUACGCAUUGUUUAUACAGUGGGAUGGCCAUAACAACUGAGACCAUUUGUUUUCAAAUAAUGUAAUAAUAAUGCAUCUUUAACAAGAAAAACAUGUUUGGCAGCCAUUAAUGGGCCAGAACCUGUUUCAGUGCUGGCUGGCGAUAAACCCGGUGGCCAUGUCUGAGCCAGAAUGGGGCCAUGUCUGUAACAACUACAUCUGGGCCAGAUAUGGCAAAAAUGAAAUGGGCCAAAGCUGGCUCACAUCUGGCCGCAUCGAGCCGGAACACAGCCGAGCUAGCCGACACUCAGCCGCAAUACGGCCGAGUCCGCUGGCUACCUGGUUAUCUACCAAUUCAGAGUAGACUGGCUACACUUAGAAGAAGGAUUAGGAUGAGGGAUGGAAUGCACAACAUGGGGCAGCUCGGUGUGGGAUUGUUAUUGGACAUUGCAUGUUUUCACAUUUGGCUGAUUGGUCUCAUAUGUCGCAAAAAUUAGAGCUUGCUAUAAUAAUGUCAGGCUGCAUGUUAAUGAUGGCAUUUAUAUUGUGUAUUUUGCACAUACAAAAAACUGCAUGUUUAAUUAAUUGUUUGUCUGCACUGAACCACGACAUGAUGCAACCUUCUAGGACUGGUUGUUUUACACUUAAUACACACCCUUCUGAGGUGCGUUACAACAUACCCGCUGGUCUUUGAAUAGCUUUAGCAUGACAAGACUUUAAAAUGGCAUUGGCAACUGGAGCUCUCAUUUCCGUAUGUAUUUCAUUGAUAUAUUCCAUCUGUAUCAUUCGUGCUACAUUUUCUGCUUUCCUUACUGUCCUACGUACCACACUGCUCAUUAAAACCAUUUUAAUUAUGAAGACAAAUAUGUCUUUGCCUUUUCUUCUCAUGCACUAACCAUGCUUUGAAUUGUCUGGGGGAUAUCAAACAAAGCUGAUUUGGUUUUUAUGGUUGCUAUGCCAAAAUGUGUGAUAACUUGGGAGCUAAUUAUCCAUCUCUUUCUUUUUUUUGGUGUACUUUGUAGCUGCACUGGUAAGCAUACCGUGGAAGCCUCUUCCCAGUGUUUUCUAUACUAUCACAGUAUUGUAUUGUAACAUCAUCAAUAUCGAUAUACAUACAAAUGUUAGAGAAAGACGCUGCUGUCUGGUGAUGAAUAUGGUUCAUUAAACUAAUAACACUAAUGAGUAGUGGAUGAGCUAAUUCUAAUUUCUGCAUGGAUUUGAUCGACUUUGCCAAAUAUCAGUUGUCAACCAAAUUUAGUCUCUAUUCCAGACAGCCUUUGUUCUAUUUUGCAGCUGCAUUUGCCAACCUGCAACCUCGGCCUCCGCAUGAAUGAGAGCGGUUCAAAGUUGUCAUUAUGUAAAGCAGGGUUUGCCAAACUGUCCCACAUGGACGUCUUUUUCUGGUGAUUGUGAUUCAUUACCUAUUCUGAAGAAACAGGAGAGAUUUAGAUUUAGGUUUUAGGAAAGCUGGUGAGUACAUCUGUACUAUAACAUUCUUUCUCAGGAGAUUAAAUCUUCUUAUCCAACAGCUCCAGCCAAGAUCAACAUGUAAAACAGUAAAAGCUUGACCUAAAGACACAAAGCUGCGGUGACUCCCCUUUGUAGUGAAUAUAGAAUCAGUGAAGCAUUAAAGAGAAAGAGGAGCUCUCCAAGGAAACCAUAUGAUGUGCCUUUGAGUAUGGGUCCCCUAAACCUAAAGCUAGUGCUGGGAAAAAUUGAAUCGAUUAAUCGCAUGAUUUUUCUGUGAUUAACAGUGAUUAAUCGCAUUAUGCACAAAAUUCACUAAUACAUUAAAACUAGUGUAUUACAUGCUUUUAUUUUACAGUAAUUUAUCUAACAGGCACUCUCGGAACAACAACAAGUAAACUUCCAUAGUCCAUAAAAAUGUUCUACCAGGUACCAGAGGAAACGUCUAUUUUAACAGGGUACAGCAUAAUGCAUAACGCAGCAUAUGUACAGCAGUAUGGGUCCCUGUUAGAGUGCAGUAAAGUGGUCUAGCACAAAAUAAGUUCAUAGCUGGAAUUUACUGUGCAGGGGACGUUUUAGUCUGUUAACCCUGUGGAUUUCCUUUGCAGAAUCUCCGUCAAAGAAAGUAAAAAAUAAUACUUUCAGUGAUGCAGGUUAAGCUGUUACACAAUGACAAAAUUAACUUUGAACAUCCACUUUUUUUAAUCCUUUAGUACAGAGGUCUUCAACAGGGGGUCGUGAAAUUUUUGGUUGAUAAGUCUUACGAUUUAAAUGUCGUCAGAAUUAGAAUUGUUUUUAUUGUCUUUAAAUACUGAAUCAUGAAUAACAUGAAUCCAACAUAUUGUAGCGAAAGGAUGAAUUGAUGGAGAAGAUGUUAUCUUUCAGUCCACAACACACACAUUCAAAUCUUGAGAGACCUCCACAGGAGCACCGGUUCAUUCACAGCACCUUUCAUGCAAAUACGACAGCACAGGCACUAGCCAAUCAGAUCGUAUUUAUUCUCAAAUCUAAAGAGCGCGAAGCUCAAAAAUAAAAGAUGGCGGACCAAACUCUGUAGAAUAGGGGGUCCGUGGUCCAUCUCGCCAUCAGUUUGGGGACCUUGGCCUGAAAAAGAUUGAAAACCCCUGCUUUAGUACUUCAAACUUGUAGUACUUCAGGCUCGUAGUAGUGAUAAGAUAAUUCCAGUCUUCAAUGGUUACAAAUAGCUUUGCUUUUAUUAACUAUGCCGUCUGAUAGAUUUCAAAUGAAAAUGUCCAUUGAAAAGUGUCGUACCUUUCUCCAUUUUCUUGGUUAAUGUUUGCAUCUGUUUUAAGCACCUCCCAAUCCUAAAAAAUGAAUAAAAUUGCGUUUUGCGCGGAAUUAACCACUUUAUGGUGACCAGCAGAUUGUCAGGAGUUGAGUUUAAAACCGGUGAUAUUACCAGCAUCAGGCCACUUCUGUACAAUGUUCCAAUGGGAGCAAUGCUUGAGACACUGAGAUGACAGAAAGGAAACUGAAUUUUGGAGCCAGUAAAUGCGACGCAUUAUAAAGCCAUACACUUACACUCCUUCCUCUUUCCAGCCCUUGAUUCCUUCCUCGUCUCUGCUGUGUUAACUGUCUUCUAUUACUUUCCGUAUCCAAAUUAAGUUAUCCAUCCUCAUUAUUUUGCCAAGAGGGAAAUGGGACGUGUCAGCAGAAAGUAAAAAUAUCAUCAGCGGGCCUGUGCUAUGACAGAUUAAUUGGAUUAUAGUUGCAUUUAGCCUGGAUUAGGUCCUGCAUGGGGACCUGGAUAGUGACACAGAUGGAUUAAGUUAGUAAAUGCUACACUGACGGGAAGGGUUCUUAAUUGUGUCGGGUAAACGCAGUGGCACAGGGGUGACAUCAAAUUCCAAAUAUUUCCUGCCCCUUGACAGUUCUAUUUAGCAUUGCUUUCCAUUGGAUAUUUUCCAAAAUCCAUUUGGGAAACUGAAAACUAAUGUCCUACAGCGCAACCCAUCACUCCCCCGGCCUCUAUCCUCUCUGCUGCAUCCACUGUUGCUUUUGCAAACAUAUGGACCAAACUUAUUGAGAGGAAAAAACAAAGGAACUACUUCUGUACCAUUAACAGUGUACAAUGAAGGGUUACUUCCAGCUCUGCCCAUUUGCUAACUUUACCUUUACACUUCAAGGUACUCUGAAUAAACUGUUUAUUUAAAACCUGACUGAGUUUCCUGCGAGUGCUAUUGCAUUGGUUUAGUGAUGUAAUCCUCGCAGAAGUUAAAAAAAUCUUUGAAAACUUCGUAUUGACCGAAAUUGUCCUAUAUCCCUGUUGACAAAGUCAUGGAUAGACAGUGUAACCAUGAAAAUGCAAACACAGUGGGAAAUGAUUUGCUUUGAGUAUUGGGGCUCUUAUUUGCAAUAUCAACCCUUAACCUUGGUUCAUCCUCAAACCUUUUUGUGGCAGCCAGUUGUUACAGAGUGUCAACUCUGACGCUGCUAGCUGGCUGAUGUGAUGACUCAACAAUGGUUGGUUCUGAGAGAUAUCAUUUCAUGGUUUCUACCAGAUGUCCACACUGAACCCCAAAACAGAGAUUUCCUUCUGUUGCAGCAAGCUGGUAGCGGCCAUCCCUCGUGUGCCUCUCCAGAUGUUUGUCACCUCGUGGAACUUUCUGCGGUUUAAUGUUGAUGUCGUCAACACAUGUAAGAGGCCUGCACACAUGUUAUUUAACCCAUCAAAGACAUUGUGAUCCACCAAACUGAGUGGAUCAUCAUUACAAGUGUUAUUUUAACUAAAUGUCCAUAAAGAUAACCUGUGAUCUUAUCAACCAACCUAAUCGCAUUCUGAUGCGAUGAAAUGGAAGGUCAUCAAACCAAGGUUUUCCCAAUUGCCAUUCAUCUGUACACAAACAGCUGCACCUCCAGUCACCAGUCCGUCAAGCUCCUGAGUUUUCCGGAUGACAGCACCCUCAUCUGACCAUCUGGUAACGUGGUGCAGCCAGAACAACCUGGAGCUCAACGCUCUAAAGACAGUGGAGAUGCUUGUAGAUUUCACCUUCACUUCACCUUUCAACCACCUUCCCCGAUCAUCCUGUGUGACUCCAUCAUCACCAAGGACCUACCUCAAGUGGGAGCUGAACAUCAGCUCCAUCACCAAGAAGGCUCAGCAGAGGCUGUUCUUCCUGAGCCAGCUGAAGAAAUUCAACCUGCCAAAGACGACGAUGGUGCACUUCUACAUCAAGUCCAUACUCUGCUCCUCCGUUACCGUCAGCCACAGCCAAGGUCAAGGGCAGGCUGCAGCGUGUCAUCAGCUCUGCAGAGAAGGUGAUUGGCUGCAAUCUGCCGUCCCUCCAGGACUUGUUUGCUUCUAGGUCUCUGAAGCGAGCUAAAAAGAUUGUAGCCGACCCUACAAAAUGUAUUUGUGCCCCUUCCAUCUGGCAGGAGGCUGAGGUCCAUGCGGACUAAGACCUCCCGCCACAUGAACAGUUUCUUCCCGUCGGCAGUCGGGCUCAUCAACAGAGGCCGGUCACCCACUGACUGACUCUGACAUUCCACCGGUCACUUUCUUUCACACUGCACACGUCACUUACACUUGUCACUUUCUGUUCGCUGGUGCACGUUAUUUUUAAACAUUUUUAACUUUAACUCCUAUUCCUUUAUUUCUAAACUAACCCAUAGCCUUAUACUACUAACCCAUAGCAUUAUAUCUUAUUUCAUUCCUCGUGCACUGUUGUCUUGUCGCCCAUUGUCGUACUGUCUACUGCCGCCAAGUCAAAUUCCUUGUAUGUCUGAUACAUAAUCGCAAUAAAUGUUUUCUUAUUCCUGAUCUUAUUUCCCCCGUUUCCUCAAUUGAUAUAAUUAGGUUGCAUUGUAGGACUUCAUUGACUGAAUGUGUUAAAGUUGAUUAGUAGCAGCAGAUUAUUAUAUUAUCUAUAUAUAGUAUCUCCUUUAAUGCCGUGGAGUUACUUUGUCUCAAAGACUGUGUCGUUGAUUCAGCAGAACGCCAUUAUUAGGCCAGUAAAUGUACAUGGAGGAGCAGAACGAUGACAACUGCCUCCCUAGAUAUCUUGUUUUUUUUCAUUUGUCUCCCCCUACGCACACCAAAAGAAAACAAAAAACUGUUCAUAAUAAUUGAAAGUCUGCUUGGGCCCUGUAGUGAGGGGAGGCUGAAAUAACCAGAUGCAGGCAGCAGAUGAAGACAAGCUGUGAGGGCACUGGAGCCCGUCUGAUUUGUGCAUGAGAGAUGAGAUGGGAAUUAAAGCAUGGUACAGUAGCUGCCACCGCAUACACGGAUGCUGCUGUGCGUUCCUUUCAGAUCUAUCUGACUGCGAUGUGCUGCUGCACAGUCAUGUGCUGCAGCAGGGAGACAAGUCACACAUUGACACUGAAUUGUUUCAACACGGGCACUAUGGAAAAAGUAAACUGGAGGUGAGAGCUUAAAAGCCGCAACGCCUGUGUGUGGCCGUCUGCUUUGAAGUAAAUGCAUGCAAAGUGAUGCAUAUGUGCACACAUUGAAAGGGCUAACAUUAAAUGUGGUUAUCCUGCUUCUGAUAGCAGGAAAAUAAUCUUUGAAAUAAGAACAUUAUUUUCUUUCUUCAAGGAGCGUCUAAAUACAUGAAACACACAGUCUGUCACUCAUUCCCAUCAACCUUGCCGCCCUGCGAUCAUGAUAAACGAGAGCACUACAAGUAAAGACACUUGUCUUUGGUUACCUUCCUCUUCUCAUAUUCCUCAUUUAUUUGGGUUGAAUUAUGCGGUCCGGAGCUCCUGCUAUUUAAAUAAUUUACUGGUAUACUGCUCUGUGUCUCCGGGGAGCGCUACAUUAGAUUCAAUUUCAGACCAACGUCAGGCGAAUUUAGGGCACUCAUGCAGGCGCUUCCUGAGCGAACAGGCCAAGUUGCUGUGUGCAUGUGAGUGUGUCUGUCUGAGCGUGCCUGUGUGAGUCUGCGUGUUUGUGUGUCUCAGUCUAUGAAUGCAUGUCACUGCCCAAAGGCCUCAGCCUUCUUGCGUGCACACCGAGAACAAAGCCGCCGACAGCCAGGAGAGGAAAAACAAGGAGCUCUCAGCGGUUCCUCGACCCUGUUGUUGCAUUAAUCAACACCUGAUUGAAAGUGAGGUUGUCAACAGGUCGAUGGUCGACAGCCACAACAUUUAAAAUGUUGUUCAUAACCGCAGAUUUUCACUUGGAACAUUGUGGCAGUUUGUCGUGCUGAUUACAAAUCACCAUCUCCAUCAAAUGAAACUUAAUGAAGAAGACAAUAGAGCUGAUUGCUCCCUCCCACUGAUGAUGACAUGGUGGCAUCAAUAGACGCUAGAGCAUCGGGAAGACUGAACUGAUUGAAAUGGUGAAGAGAGAAGUAUUUUAUCCUUAACAUCCGUACUCGAGUACCUAAAGCGUCUUCGAUUGGAGAUUACACUUGUUGAACUGUCAAGGGUAGCAACGGGUGGACUAAGAUCUACGACUCAGGAUCAAAUGUAAAAGUCACAGGUGGUUUAUUCCCAGACUUGGUCAAGACAGGCAACGUUUGGUGCACAAAAAUAGUGGACUUCAAAAGUACAAAAGGGUUCAGGCACGUUACAAAACCAACUGGCAUGAACUACACAGAGGAUGCCACUUCAGUACACAAGAGAAGGGUGAGUUAGCGAGACAGAGGUGGACACAAUGGGGAAGGGCUGCAAUCAGCACAAUAGGAAGACAUGAGGGCAGGAUAUCAUGACACCUGAAGCAAGAGGGAUACAUUUUACUUGCAAAGAAUAACUGGACUCAUGGGGAAAACAGAGGUGAAUAACAAGUUACUUUUGUAGCUGGCUUGACGAUUCCUGGCUGUGGACCUGAAUGUGUGGAUAUCCAAGUCUACAUGUCCUUCAGUGACUUGGCCCCCUUUUACCAAAGUAUGGACGUCGGUUUCCCUUAACAGGGAGACACGCUGGAGAUAACCGAGACAGUGAGUGUUUCUAUCAUCUGUCGACAGGCCCUCAUGAUCUCAUUUCUAUAUCACUGCACAAGGCCCAUUCAUGUAUGAAACCACUCAUUGAUGAUAAUAAAUCUCAUAGCAAUUAAUAGCAAUACCAGUAUGAACACAUAUGUAAUACAACAGACAUAAACAAAAGGUAUGUGGUAUUGUAUUUUGUUUUAAUAAAUUCAGCUGUAAACUAGCUGUUAUUAAUUAGAUGCUUUUAUUAAUUUCUGAAUUUAAAAAAGUAGUACUUCAGCAACAAGAUUGUUAACAUAAGAGCACUGCAGAGCAGUAUCCAUGAGCUGACCAGUGGAGCACACUCACAUGCACCUACGUGCACAAAAAGCAUGCACAGAAAUACGGUAUGGAUCCAAUGCCUGAUAAUAUGUGACAUGUCCAUAUGAUGUUGCGGUGGGAAUAUCCACCGAUGAAACCCAACACUGGAUUGUAAUUUAGGUGGCAAAAGUGUUACUUCACAUUUAGUGAAGGGCGUGAUGUGAGACUCACAAAGGGCUUUCUAUUUCAUCCCUGUGGUGUCGAGGCAGGGGCUCUGUGUAGGCCAGUCUAGAUCUUCCACAUCAAACUCUUCAAACAUGCACUGUUGACUCACUGAGAGUUUAAUUUAAAUAAAUCUUUGUUAACUUACUGUUGAUUGCUGACAGAGGUAACGCAUGUUUGAGCCUGUGACCUAUUGCUAAAAUGAUUCAUGUAGGUAUUAUCUGGCUGUCCGUGGCGAUACUUCUGGAGCCAGGAAUGACCAUUCAAGAUUGGCACUUUGAUGGCCUUAUGUUAAUAAGAGUAAGAUAUAUUGGAGUUAAAACUAAUUAUGUUGGACUGAUGAUGAUGGAAGAUCCUCUCAAACCUUCUAGUAAACAUUUCCUUCAUCGAUCAGAUUACAUAAAAGUCCCGCACUGUCCCUUUUUUUCUGUCAGGAUAAAGUGGUACGGACGUCUCGUCCCAUUGCCAUGGACAUAAAAGCCCAGUGAUCCUAUCAUCUGAGCGAGAAUGUGAGAAGUAGAUUAUUUAUUAUGAGAAGGUGUGUUUGCAUGGGGAGUUCAAAGAGAUCUGACACACCACUGUCCUCCUGGUUAUUUGAGAGGUCAAAGGUGACAGGCACUCAGAGGCAGAUGGUCUUUAUUUCAUUAAGUGCAGUUUGCCUCAAAGGUAACCUGGGGCGAUGCAGUCGUCUGAGUUGAUAGGACAGCAGCCAGGCUAGAUGCCAACUUUUCAUCUGUUGAGCUCAAAGGACAGAGGAGAGUGAGUGGCCCUCGGGCAGAAAAACAAAGCAGGAGUUAGGAGCUGUUUGCUGUUGUCAUAUUUAAGCUUGUUUUAUUGUUUUCGACGCAUUUUAGUUAUUGCCUUUCCUGAACAGAUUUGAUUUGAUUUUUGUUUCACUUUAGAAAAUUUGGUGAUCAGGCCUGUGAAAAAAGUUUGUGGGAAACAAAAACGGACUUUAAUAGUCAAAACUCAAAAACUCAAAAAUUUCAAGAAGACCAAACGUAGUCGAGAAACGGCCGACAGGUACUGUGACAUGGACGUGAGCUUCCGAACACUCAAUUACAGGGGAAGACAGGACCAGGCUGGAAGUGAAGUUACCCAGGGAGACACGAAGCAGAAACCACAAAAUAAGACAGGAAAUAAACCACACCGUGACAAUAGCGGCCUGGCAAGAUUUGUUUGUUUCUUUAUGUUCUCUGAUUUAAACUUCUACAAAGACGCCCUCUGCCUCUGCCUCAUAACUGCUGCGCUACCAUUUAUUCGGACUCCUCCAUGCCACAAAUAUUUGAUAGCUGCAGCUAAAAGAAAAGAAUGUAAGGAUAGAAAAAAAUAAAUGGCUCCCAAUUCCAGGACAAUCUAUACAAUAGUUGUUGGUUUUUCUCAAAAACCCAAAGUUGGUGAUAAAGGAAAGUGAGGAAAUCUUGAAAUUUUAGGAGACCAAACAACUGAUUGACCAAAGUCAACAUCAUUGUAGCUAAUCUGCUACUUUUGCAAUUAAACAAUAAAAUAUUAGUCCCAAAACAAGAAUCUCAAAAGUCAUGUUGGAAACGCUCAUCACACUUAGUUGAAGUUGUCCUUGCAGUGUGGCAGUGCAAUUUCUGCAGACAUUGUGAUUUAUGAACAGCUUUGUGAACAAUUCAAUUAAUUUUGUGUAGCCCAAAAUCCCAAACUACAAAUUUGCCUCGGAGGGCUUUACAGUCUGUACACAUGCGGCAUCCUCUGUCCCGAAACACAUCGACACAGGAAAAACUCGCCAUGAAAUGAAAACCCCUUCAUGGGGAUAAAAGGGAAGAAACCUUUGAGCAUACUUCUCAAACUUGCACCCCGCGGGCCACAUCCGGCCGGCCCGGGGUGUCCAGUGCGGCCAGCCGCCAGAGUGUGGACAACUUUGGCGUAUCGUCAGUGCCACCCCCUCCCCUGUUGUACCAUCAGCGCCACCCCCAAGCUAGUCGGCCUCUUUUGGCUUGAUCGACAGAUACAGUUGAGUAUCGUCUGCAUAACAAUGGAAGUUUAUGCAGUGUUUUCUGAUAACAUCGCCUAAAGGAAGCAUAUAGAGGGUAAAUAAAAUCGUUCCAAGCGUAGAACCUUGUGGGACUCGUGACCACAUUGGUGGUCUUCGAGGAUUCACCGUUUACAAGCACAAACUGGCAUUGAUACGAUAAAUAGGAUUUAAACCAGCUGAGUGCAGUUCCUUUGAUAGCAAUCAAAUGUUACAACGAUCAAAUGGUGUCAAAUGCGGCACUGAGGUCCAGCAAGAGAGGAAAAGAGAUGAGUCCUUGGUCCAAUGCAAGUAGAAGAUAAUUUGUAAUUUUCACCAGUGCUGUUUCUGUGCUAUGAUGCACUCAAAAUCAGGACUGGAAAUCCUCAAACAAAGCAUUGUUUUGUAGAAAGUCCCAUAAUUGAUUUGCGAUUUCUGAAGGAUCUUAGAGAGAAAGGGAAGAUUAGAGAUAGGUUUGUAGUUAGCCAACACCUCUGGAGCAAGAGUAGGUUUCUUAAGAAGAGGUUUAAUUACAGACACCUUGAAUGGCUGUGGUAUAUGUCCCGUCAACAAAGAAAGAUUCAUAAUAUCUAGUAAAGACGUGCUAACUGAAGGAAAAACUUCCUUAAGCAGCUUAGUCGGAAUCGGAUCGAAGAGACAAGUAGAAGAUUCAGACUUUGUAGAAUUUGUAGAAUGUAGAAGUCAGUCGAUGGAAGGAAGCCAUCCAAGCAGGCAUCAGGGCCCACUGCUGCAUCCAAGGUUCCUAUAUCCGAUGACGGGUCGGUACUGGUUGAAGGAAGGAGACCAUCAAUUUUCUCUUUAAUAGUCAGCAUCUUAUCAUUGAAGAAAUUCAUUAAGUCAUUACUACUGAGGUCCAAAGGAAUACACGGCUCGAUAGAGCUGUGACUCUCUGUCAGUGUGGCUACAGUGCUGAAGAGAAACCUGGGGUUGUUUUUAUUUUUCUCUAUUAAUGAUGAGUAAUGAGAUGCCCUUGCAUUACAGAGAGCCUCCUUAUAUCUUUUAAGGCGGUCUUGCCAAACUAGCCUAGAUCCUUCUGAUUUGGUGAAACGCCAUAACCGUUCAAGUUUCCGCACAGUUUGCUGUAAGUUCCGGGUUUAAGGUUAUACCAAAGAGCAAACUUCCUUCUUGUUGCCAUUCUUCUUUCCAAAGGAGCAAUAGCGUCAAGCGCCAUUCUCAAAGAGCCUGUAGCAGUAUCGACAAGAUGACCAAUCUGGGACGGACUGAAGUUCUCUGGUUUACCAAAGAUCUGGAAAUAGGUUUUUAGCAACCUCCAUCCCAUCCCAGGCCAGCUGAAUGGGGAACACUGGAAUGCUCGGGAUCACUUCAGUCCUUCCCGAGGAUGACUUAGGGUUUUCACUAGGGGUAGCCGCGGCUAGAGCAGGUGACACCUCUGAUGCCGCUUGUUGGUCUGGCUGCUGUCCAUCUCCCCGAACGCAUUUAUUUUGUUUGAAUCCCACCCCCCACCUCCACUUUCUGUCCUCUUUUUGCGCCAUGCUCUCCAUCCAAAACUCCGACGUCCCCAGGAACCUCUGUGCCCGGCCAACCCUUCCAGUCCUGCUGCAGGCUGGGCACAAUGUCAAGACGCUUUGGCUCAAAAGCCGGCAGAAUCUAUUGGUUUGCAGCAGAGCCCAGUGGACCCAUAACAGGCCUCAAAUCCUGCUGCUAUGAGAGAGAAACAGAAUGACAGGACAGUGUUAUCAGGGUGUGUAUCGGAAAGACACGAGAGUGAAGAAAUCAAUUGGGAAUGAUAAGUAACUUCUGAAGCAGCAAUUUUCAAUCUUCAAACUAUUUUCAACUAAUAAAGUUUGAUGCCUCGCUGAGUAAUAUCCAUGCAGAGCAGGUUGGGCUCAGCACCAUGAAACCCUGUGAAGUGUAGGAGCAUCCUCCCCCUCAGCCCUAGUGUGACUAUUGUGAUAUGUCUCUUUGAAAGCCGGUUUAGCUGCACAGAACUGGUUUGGGGUAGGUUGAUAGAAUAUUGCUUCUGGUUGGGGUCAAAAGAAAACCUCUGAGCCAUUAUUCCACCUGUAACAUUCCCCUCUGCUGACAUUAUUACACUUUAACCAGUAAUUCCGCUCCUUCUCUGAUGCUCCUUUUUUGUGUCUGCUGAAAGGGUCUCACUUUUUUACUUCCCUCCUUUGGCUUUAUAAAUACAUGACUACCACAUCAACAUUUUUCAGUAGAUGUUUUUUUUCAUUACGUCUGGUGGUCAACGGGGUCGAUGGUGGCAUAUGGGUAGAGAGGGUGCGCCAGGAACCGCAAGGUUGGCGGUUUGAGACCCGGCUGCUCCAUGUCCCAUGUCGGAGUAAGACAACUAACCCCUAAUGGCUCCCAAGGCAAAAAGCCAUGGGUUAAAAAUGCAAUGUAAGUCGCUUCGGAUAAAAGUGUCAGCUAAUUGACCUUUAAUGUAAUGUAAAAGCGAUAGAAUAAUUCUUUUAACCUUUUUAAAUCAUCCAUUGACCCACAGCCCCUGCCUAUUCCUACAUUCUAUCUUUUUGACUGCCCAUUCAGUAUUUAUUAACCCACAUUUAUUCUCAUCAUCCAUCAUGCUAUAUCGUACUAUUUCGACCAUCCGACCCUAUUCCUGCUUCAAAUGUCACUACCGAUUUGGUCAUUCAUCUAUUCUGUUCAAUUCCCCUCCUUCCGUUUUUUCUCUUCUAUUGUGCUUCAACUUGUGCUACACUUGUCCUGGCAUUGCUUGCUUUUCAUGUCUGGUUCUACAUUUUUACUAUUCUGCAAAAAAGGGACUUUUAAUGAGUUGUAAAGGAGAAAAGGUGAUUAUAGCAGAGCCAAUCGAACUAAAACCUUGUCUCCUCAUGUAGGGUGCUUCUAUUUUAUUUCCAUUUAAUGUUGAUUCGAUAUUCUAUUAAAUGUACGAAAAUAUUUGCCCU
ensembl:lncRNA